CGCCUACUGCGACGGCGCUUACGACCAGAUCGGCUUCCCCAACCUUGAGAUCCAAGUCCACAACAGCUGGCUCUUCUUCCCCUGGCACCGCUUGUACCUCUACUUCAACGAGAGGAUCCUCGGCAAGCUCAUCGGCGACGACACCUUCUCGCUCCCUUUCUGGAACUGGGACGCACCCGGCGGAAUGAUGCUGCCUUCGAUCUACGCCGAUCCUUCGUCACCCCUCUACGACAAACUUCGCGACGCCAAGCACCAACCUCCUGUCCUUGUCGACCUCGACUACAAUGGAACCGACCCAACCUUCCCCGACGCCCAGCAAAUCGAUCACAACCUCAAGAUCAUGUACCGCCAAGUCUUCUCCAACGGCAAGACGCCGUUGCUGUUCUUAGGCUCAGCUUACCGUGCCGGUGAACAGCCUAACCCUGGCGCGGGCUCCGUCGAGAACAUGCCGCACAACAACGUGCACUUGUGGACCGGCGACCGCACCCAGCCCAACUUCGAGAACAUGGGCACCUUCUACGCCGCGGCGCGCGACCCCAUCUUCUUCGCCCACCACGCCAACAUCGACCGCAUGUGGUACCUGUGGAAGAAGCUCAGCAGGAAGCACCAGGACUUCAAUGACUCGGACUGGCUCAAAGCUUCCUUCCUUUUCUACGACGAGAACGCCGACUUAGUUCGGGUCACGGUCAAGGACUGCUUGGAGACCGAUUGGCUGCGCUACACGUACCAAGACGUGAAGAUCCCAUGGGUGAACGCCCGACCGACUCCCAAGCUCGCCAAGGCGAGGAAAGCCGCCAGCAGUUCGCUGAAAGCCACCGCGGAGGUGCAGUUCCCUGUGACGCUGGAAUCCCCGGUCAAAGCGACGGUGAAGAGGCCCAAGGUGGGGAGGAGCGGCAAGGAGAAGGAAGAUGAGGAGGAGAUACUCAUAGUGGAGGGGAUCGAGUUCGACCGCGACUACUUCAUCAAGUUCGACGUCUUCGUGAACGCGACGGAGGGCGACGGCAUCACGGCCGGGGCCAGCGAGUUCGCCGGCAGCUUCGUGAACGUCCCGCACAAGCACAAGCACCGCAAGGAUGAGAAUAAGCUGAAGACGAGGCUGUGUCUUGGAAUCACCGACCUGCUCGAGGACAUCGGCGCGGAGGACGACGACAGCGUGCUCGUCACCAUCGUGCCGAAGGCGGGCAAAGGAAAGGUGUCCGUCGGCGGUCUUCGGAUUGACUUUUCCAAGUGAGGAAAUAAAAGAAUUCACGUGCCGUGCUUGCUUUCUAUGUACGAAUAAAAUAAGAGUGCAUCAUCACCGACCAUGGUUCUACUUUAAACUUCGUGUUGUACGUUUGAUGUCAGUAGUCUCUCAUUGUUGUUGUUUACAGUUUCUAUGGACAUGCAUUUGCAGUAUCAGUCUUCGUAUGUUUCCCGACGUUAAAUAGGUUGCAUUUCCAGUAGUAUUUUUGAAGCUAUUAAGAAAUAUCGAAAAGAAAAAGAAAAAGGAGAAAUAUUUCCAUGGUCAAAGUCAAAAUCUUGGUGGCCAAUCUUCAAACACACGGGAAAGAGGCUCCCGACAUGCGCCGACUCUGACGUCGGGCCCACAUCGCUACUUUCUUCGGCCGUCAUAUCGCGAAUCUUAAAGCGGCGACUCUCCGAUCCAACGGCUGGUCGCCAUGCGGUGGAGGUCACGACGCCAAGCGCGCCGUUGUCUCGUCGGCCGAAACAAUCGAGCCCCUUAUUCGUACCCGUACGUGAUUGGAGAAUCUCCACAAGACUUUAUAGGGUCCCGCAGGUUAGUGAUUAUGGUAUACGCAUGAGGGAAACUAGAACUUUUAGAUUCGGUAGAAUGAUGGAAAACAAUACUAAUAAUGACACAUAUAUAUAUAUAUAUAUAUAUUUAUUUAUUUAUAUAUGUAUGUAUAUAUAUAAACCAGUCGUCUUGAGAGGAGAAAAGGCGUCGCUCCUCGUGCUCAAUCCCCCUACCACUUUCCUCCUUCCCUCCGAUCUCUCGGGCUUCCCUACCGUCCGAUCUCGUCGAUCAUGUCUUCGGUAAGCGAUCCUAUCCUCCUAUGGACUUCCUGUGCGACUUGUGAUCCCUUUUCGGUCGAGUUAGCCCACGGGUGGCGUUCUUCUUGCAAUCGGUAGGUGCUUUAGUGUUCGUCUUUCUUCUUUCUUCGACAUCGAUGAAUCGGAUGUUGAUUAUGCAAGCAAGUGUGAUACUUUACUCGGAGUUUCCUAAUCGAGGGAAAUGAGUGAGUUUGUUUAGGUCCGCCUACUGGUUCCUGUCCCGUUUGGGGAUGGGCAGAAUGUUGUGGGAGAGUGACUGUGGUGUAUCGAUUUGAUAGGUUAUGGAACUUGAUUGUUCUUACAUAUAUGUAGAAAUCGACGAUUUUAGGUUUAUUUCUGUAAAACCCAGUUUUUUUAUGAUGUGUCGUCUUUCAUCUAUUGUGCUUUUUGUUGAAUUAGUACUUCUGAUGCAUUUUCAUGUUCUAAGUGCAAGAUGUAAAGUAAUUCAGGUCAUUGGCUUUAUGUUAGGAGUUUGAAAUCUAGACAUGCAUUACCUGUUUGUGUAAGAUAAUUUUCUGUUAACCCAAGACUUCAAAUUGGAGUGUCUGAAUAGAUUGUUUGACCUAGAGUGCUGACUACAAGUUCUUAGACAGACUUCAACUUGAAAAGGUUUACAGGUCCGCGAAAUGUCUGUUGAUAUGUAAUUUAGUUAUAUUUGGAUAAGCAGCUACCUAGAAUUAGGUAUAUCAUUCUUCUCACUUUCUUGAGCUUAGCGCCUACUGUCAAGCUUCACAUUGAAUGUAAGAGGAUGGUGUUGAUUUGUUUCCAUACACUCCUUGUCCUUUCUUCUCCAAGCGGGAAUUAGAUAAAUUAAAUUUGGCAUGAUGUUUCUUAUCAAACAUGUCUCUUAUUUUUGGGAAAUUCCAAGGGUGAUGUGGACCUAAUUUGUUAAAGCAUAUCCAAAAUGGAACAAUGAAGAACUAACAUAAUAAGCUGCAGAAGAUACUGGAAUGUUGGUUCAAUUAGGUUUUUUUACCACAUCCACUGAAGGAACAAUGAGUUUCUUUAUUAUUGAAGCAAUAGUGAACUUGUUUUAUUGCCAGUUGAGUUGCCAGCUAAAGCAUAAUUCUGGGAGAAAUAAAUAAAUAAACCAAUGCCUGAUCUUACAGAUUUCAUCUUACAUGCCGAUUUGUUAGGUUUUUUAUAGUUUACAUAUGUUGCCUUCUCAAUCUUCUACGUUGUUGUACUUUCAUGUCAGAAGAAUUAUGGGUUUGAAUGAAGUGUUUCUUUUCAAAGUUUUACUUUGUUAUACUUAUGAGAAGGAUUAUUGUGCUUUCAAGUACUUGAGUGAACCUUUGCUUUUCAAACUCUUGCUUAUGGGAGUACUCAACUGAAUUAAAAUUUAUUUAAGAAGAUAAUUGAAGUUUAUUCAAGGAAUAAAGACUCCAAAAACUUAUGAUAAUCUUCUGUGUUGAGAACUAGGAAUAACAAUAACAAAGAGACAUGUGGUUAUAGACAUGCUAACACAGCUUAACUGCAGUGUGUUCAUAAGCUGUUUUUUUUUUUAACUUGUGUAGUUCCUAAGGUUGUUCGAUUUUUUUUUUUAAUAGUGAGAAGUUGAAGAAGAUUGCCUGUUGAUUGCUACUCUGCUAUGAGAUGAUCCUUACUUUUUGUUCUAAUAAUUGUAACUUUAGAUGCUAAUACAUUCAAUUUCCAAGCUACAAUCCUCUCACUGACAUCCGGUGGGUCAGUAAUUCAACAGAAUGGAUGUUCUGUUGGGAAAAUUGAGAAAUGUGUUUCUUUUUUCGUUUAAAGCGUGUAUACCUAUGUUAGAUGAGGUGGAAGAUAUUAUACAAAAAGUUAGGUUGUUGAGAGGAUGUUCAGAUACGUAAAUGUAUGGGUUUGUAAUAAUGAUCGAACAGAAAAUUUAUACAUUUAUGAACCAUUAAGAAUAGUUCUAACGAGGAUAAAAAUGAGAGAAGACCUAUAGUAAAGGAAGAUCUUAAAAAUAUUUUUUUAGAAAGAAUAGAUAUGAUGGUCCUUGGUUUGACUGGUUAACCAAUGACCACAGAUUCUUCACUGUCAUUUAAAAUUAACUAGCAAUUGUUUUCUUGAUUAAUGCUGCUACUUCAAGCUUCUUCCUCACCUAUUUACAGUUUCGGUUAUCAUUCAGUCUUUUAUCUUUUGAGUGCAUCAGGAGAAGGGUCAACCACUGCCCAAGUUUGGAGAGUGGGAUGUCAACAAUCCUGCCUCAGCUGAGGGGUUCACUGUUAUAUUCAACAAAGCUCGGGAUGAAAAGAAGACAGGUGCUAACUCCGGGGCAACAGCAACACCACCAAGAAAUGAUGCAGGUGGUUUCCAACAAGAUGAUACCUAUCAGUAUCGAAGAAAAAGUGUAUGAUCCUAACUUAUGCUUUUCUGUUCCUUAAUCAUUACUGAACUUUGGAUCUAAUGAUUAGGAAAGAAAAAGAUCGAAAACCCAUAUUUAUAUUAUUUUUGCACUCCUAUCCAUGAUGAUAUUGAUUUCAAACUCAAACUAGCUUGAAACAGUCAUUUGCUGCUUUCUGUCGUCACAAGCACAGUGCUCUGUUCUUCUUCUUUUAACUAACCACUAUAUUUUGAUUUGGUUCAGCGGAAGUGGUUUUGCUGCUGUUGAAUGCCUGCUGUUUGGAGCCAAUAGGUACUUGUUCACCGUAGUUUGGGGUCGCAAGCAUAAAGAAUGUUUGUUUUAUUGUAACAGAUGCUGUUUAUGAAUAAUUAUCAUAUCUGGUUCGUGUGAAUCGGUAUUAUUUGUAGACAAAAAAAGAGGGCAGAUCGAUGGAAGAUGGUUUAUAUCUUGUUCAAUUUUGCUGUAUGAUUGCCGAGUGUAAUUAGAAGAUACUUGUGUGUAGAUUUGCUAUAGAUGUUGGUUUAUUAAACAUAAACUUAAAGAGGCAAAGUACAGUAAUUACUUUGGAGUAUGAUGAAGAUGUAUAUAUAUGCAAUUUUGGGUUUAUUGAAUUAUAUUUGCUCUUCCCAAUUCAGUAUCCAUUUCCUUUUUCAAUACUUUAAAUUCUAAUCCAUAUUAUGCAUGUUUUUCCCAAGUCAUUAUCAUAUCAAUUGCAGGUCCAAAAUGUGUCAUCUUCCCAUGCAUUUUUCAUAUUACUCCAAAGUGUAAAUAUAAGAAGAAAAAAAAGGGGGCAAACCAAAGUCACCUCAGCCAACAACACCUCACAUGCCUCAUUUCUGCUACAGCCAUUAAUAAAGAUAAGGCCCCAAGGAAUCUUUCCAAUAGUUCAACCUCUGCCAUGAUUGGUUGUCCUAAAUCUUAUGAAACACUCUCAAGAUUCUUCAAAUCUCCACAUCAUUUCUCUAUGUCAUAAUAAUGUAGAAAUUUCUAGGGCCUAUGAUUGUUACUGAAGGUCUGAAUCUGGGAGCAAUUCCCAUGACAGAGACAUGGCCCGGAGGCAAAAUAGUUUUCUCUGUUCUUGGCUGGCAUUUCCAGCCACCAAGCAACAUGGAAAACCACAUUCCACACGAAUCAUGGCAUGAUGUUGUGCCAGAGCACACGGUCCCCAGUCGUUCAAGUUCCAUGCAAAUGUGUUGUGCUUCUUACUGCGUGUUGGGAAAAUGAUAUGAAGCUCCCAUCCAUUGAUAGAUCAAGAGGUGCACUGUUUUGUAAGGAUCGAAGCAGCGGACAUGUUUAGCAUGGAUGCAUGUUUGUGACAGACUCCGGAUGGAGUCGAGUAAGGUUGUGAUGGAUCAAGAAAUUGAAUGUUCAGUGACGAAGAGCUUGGAUCGGGCAAAACCUUGUGAGCGACGGUGAUUCACAUAACAGGGAUGGAUAUAUGUAGCUGAGUUAUGACGAAGAAGAAAAGCCAAGGAGAGAUAAGUCUGUCGACAGUGGUUGUGAUGAUCCACCCGCAGACAGCAGCAACAGCAUGUGCCCCAUCACCCUCAGUGUGGAUUCUCCCUCACUUGGGUGAUGUCAGCACCCACAUCCCCUGUCACAGCUGCAGCAGAGAGAGAGAGAGAGAGAGCGAUAGUAAAGCCAAAGUGAUGCCUGGAGCUCAAGUUUUGAGCCUCCCGCAAGCAAAUGCUGCAGCUGGGAAGACCCACUGAGCCCUGGACACUCCUGUCAUAAAGGAGGAGAUCCAUCUGCGGUACACCGAGCAUCUACUCUCUGGGUGGGCUUCUCGUCGUCGCAAGGUACGCAGGGACGAGAAAGUUCCUGCCUUUAUCGCAAAGAUCGCUUCUUUUCGCCGGUCUUUGCUGGGUUCUCAGUUUGUUCUUGGUCGGAGGACCGUUUCGCAUCAGAUCUGUAAGCUAUUUUGCUCGGAUGAUUAGAAAAGCUGGUGUAUCAGACGCAACAGGAGGGAGAUCUGUACGGAUCGGUUGAUCGUGUCAAGGAUUUCAUCGUCUGAGAUCUUGCCUCGUUCACGUCAAUUCCUCGGAUUUCUGGGUUUUGGGAGCAUCUCAAAAGGAAAACUCUCGUUUUUCUGUCUCUUUGCUGUUCUAAUUUUUACGUUCUUAAGCAUUGCUGGUAGAUCUUCUUGAAGGAUGCUUGGUAGCAGAUAAAGAUUUGGAUUGGAUCAAAGAAUGACGUUUCUUGGGCUUCUUUUUCUGGGUCUCGCAUCAUUUUCUUUUGGAACUGGAAAUGCUCAAGCGAACAGCUUUCUGGUCGAUUGUGGUUCUAAUUAUAGCACCACUGAUGCUAAUAGUAGGAAAUGGGUUGGAGAUUCUUCCGGUGAUGGUUUUUCCCUGAGCUAUCCUGGAACUACUGCAUCGACUUCCACAGUGGAAGAAAACUCCGUUUACCAGUCCUUGUAUAAGACUGCUAGAAUAUUUGAUACUCCAUCUCACUAUGGCUUCAAUGUGUCUUCUGGGAGUUACUGCUUGAGGCUUCAUUUCUACCCCUUCUCGUUUGUAAAUUUGAAUGUCAAUGAUUCAGUGUUUGAUGUAACCGCGAACGAGCUCAAGUUGGUUUCUAAGUUCAAUGUGCCGGCAGAAAUCUCAUGUCGGAGCACCACAAACAACUCGGUCAUUACUUCCCUGGUGAAAGAGUACUUCCUUUACAUCAGUUCAAGUGAACUGCAAAUUCGGUUUGUACCGAACUCAGGGUCAUUUGCAUUUGUCAAUGCCAUCGAGGUUUUCGAAAUACACAACAACUUGUUUGUUGACUCUGUCAACAGAGUAGGCAGCAAGGAGAAGGUUCCUUUGAGUAUGAAUGACCUUGGAAUUGAGACGAUGUACCGGUUAAAUGUUGGAGGGCCGGCACUUGAGCCAAGCAAAGAUCGAGAUCUGUGGAGAACAUGGGAGCCGGAUGAUGGAUUUAUGUUUUCUGUGAAUGCUGCUACUGCAAUUAGUAGUACAUCCAAGAUAAGCUAUUCAUCAGUUAAUGACUCUUCGAUUGCACCUCUAUUGGUUUAUGAGACAGCCAGAAUAAUGUCUGAUAAUGAAGUUGUUGAGAAGAGAUUCAAUGUCUCAUGGAGGUUUGACAUAGAUCCCAACUUUGACUACUUGGUCCGGUUGCACUUCUGUGAGUUGAUCUAUGACAAGCAAAACCAGAGAAUUUUCAGAAUCUACAUCAAUAAUAAAACUGCGGCGGAAGAAUACGAUGUGUUUAUACGAGCAGGAGGGAUGAACAAAGCCUACCAUGAAGACUAUGUUGAUAUUGUACCACAGCAGAUAGACACCCUUUGGCUUCAGCUAGGGCCUGAUUCAUCGAUAGGUGCUUUGGGUAUUGAUGCGAUCCUCAACGGUGUGGAGAUCUUCAAGCUCAGCAGGAAUGGAAAUUUAGCUCAUGUUUCAGAGAGGAUUGGUACUGGUGGGGAAGGAUUUGGUACAAAGAGGACAAAAAGUAAAGUUCUUUGGGCAGCCACCGGUGGUAUUAUUUCUGUGGUUACCAUUUCCAUGGCAUGUGUUUUUUAUUGCCACCGAAUUCAGAAAAGGAAAGCAGAUGGUGUUAAGGAGAAUCCUCCUGGUUGGCAUCCGCUUUUCCUUCAUGAGACAAUUGCAAGCACCACAAAUGCUGGCACAUCCAAACUGCCUUUGAUCAAUGAUGGUUUAGCAGCUUCUUAUAGGCUUGGUAGAAGAUUCACUUUAGCAGAAAUUAAAGCUGCGACAAGCAACUUUGACGAUUCCUUGGUCAUCGGAACUGGAGGCUUUGGCAAGGUCUACAAAGGUGAGAUUGAUGACGGGAUACCGGUUGCUGUGAAGCGAGGAAAUCCACAGUCGCAGCAGGGCCUAGCAGAAUUUGAAACAGAGAUCGAAAUGCUGUCAAAGCUUCGGCAUCGGCAUCUCGUCGCGAUGAUCGGUUACUGUGAGGAGCAAAGAGAGAUGAUUUUGGUUUAUGAGUACAUGGCAAAUGGGACACUUCGAAGCCAUCUCUAUGGCACUGCUCUUCCAGCUUUAUCAUGGAAACAGCGGGUUGAUGCAUGCAUUGGUGCAGCACGCGGUCUACACUAUCUUCACACUGGUGCAGACAGGGGUAUUAUCCACCGAGAUGUCAAGACAACAAACAUUUUGUUAGACGAGAACUUUGUUGCAAAGAUGGCCGACUUUGGGUUGUCAAGAGCUGGUCCCUCUUUGGAUCAGACCCAUGUGAGUACUGCAGUGAAAGGGAGUUUUGGUUACCUUGAUCCUGAAUAUUUUCGGAGGCAGCAGUUAACCCAAAAAUCAGAUGUGUAUUCCUUUGGAGUUGUGCUCUUUGAAGUUGUUUGUGCGCGUCCAGUGAUAAACCCAAGUUUGCCGAAGGAUCAAAUAAACCUGGCUGAAUGGGCACUGCGAUGGCAAAGGCAACGGUCACUUGAGUCGAUUUUGGAUCCCAGAUUGGCAGGAGAUUACUCUCUGGAGUCUCUGAAGAAGUUUGGAGAGAUUGCAGAGAAAUGUCUGGCAGACGAGGGAAAGAACAGACCUACAAUGGGGGAGGUACUUUGGCACUUGGAAUAUGUUUUGCACCUGCACGAAGCAUACAGGAAGAGCGGAGAUGGGGAUUCUUUUGGGAGCGGUGAGUUGGGAUUCGCAGAUAUGUCUUUCUCACUCCCAUUUGUCCGAGAAGGAGAUGAGGAACCUUUUCCGUAGCCAUCAAGAUUCAAAGAUUUCCUCGAGAGCCAAAAGGCCUUCGACAUUGUUCGCUGUAGACAGUUGCUGGUGUUGGUAUUCCAAAGCUAUUUUACCAUCAGAAAAGGCAAGUGGUUGUAUCACUUUCCCAGUACUAAAGCUUUUAUGCUUGAUCUCUUGUGACUGUAACUCCUUGGUACAAAAUCUUAAGAAGUUUGUCAUGUUAGUGAUCCUUCCCUUGUAAAAAGGAAAUAGUUUCUCGGAAUCAUGGAAGAGUUCUAAUUCUUUUGAGAGAUUUAGCUAAUUGUUUGUGAUUUAAUCAUUCUGAAAAGCCAAUGUAUGUCAGGAUUUUGCCAAGGCUGCUAAAUAGCAACAUUCGUUGCUUUUUUAAACUUCAGAUCGUGUGGCGAUUACCGGUUUUCACUUCAAGUUAUUGUCUAUUGAUUCAGAAUACUUGUUGUCGAUCUUUAAGUCUUUUAACAUAAGUUAUUUUGCUUGUGCUUAUUUAGCUGUUCUUGGUAGCUUAAACAAGUGUUGGUAUCAACUGGUAAACUUAAUUCAAUCCAGUAUUCUGCUCAAAUGUUGCCAGAAUCAAAAGUACGAAAACCAAAGACGACUUUUUUUAAUUAAAACUCCAUAGUUCAUUUUGCUGAAAAUUGCCAAUGAGAGAUGUCUCCAGAGGUGCAACAAGAGGAUUUUUAUUUGAUUAUUGACUCUUCAUGCCAGCACUAUUUAUACGCAAAAUCUGUAAUCGAUAUUACCUAACCUAUCGAUGUCUUUUGCCUCCUUUUUACCAGGAAAAACUGUUCUAGAGCUAGCCGAGCCGCCAAAUGACACUUUGAAAUGUGUUUCCUAUGAAGGUAUCUUCCCUCAUGAGCUAGCCUUUUACAUCUGGGCACCAGAUUGACAUGAGAUUUAUGAAGACCAUUUUACUGUGUGUUAAAAACAGACAACAAUUGCAGAAUGCUUUUUUUUGUGCUUGGCUGUUGGGGGGCAAUUAUAUGGUAGAGUUUUAUGAACACAAAACAAACUGCUGCUAUCUGAUUUGCUGAGAGUCAUACUCUUAAGCAGACUUUUAUGUAAUCAAGGAUUGCAUUUUGUAGUCAUAUCCACAGAAGUGCAAAUAGGAGGCGUUUCUCUUUUUUGUUGCUUACCAGUCUUUUGUAUCAUAUUCAUCAUGGAGAUUUUAUGUUACCGAAGGACGACAGUGUGCCAACAGUUCUGUGAGCACAACACAAUCUAUAUAAUGGACAUCUCUGCUCAUUUUCAAGAACAGUAGUUGAUUGAUUAAGAAUGUUAUCUCCUAUUUACAUUCACUUGAUAUUUCUGAGAUUUUACAGAUUAUAUUAAUAACACUUAAAAAUACACUAACUUUGUGCAGUUCUGAAUGAACGUGCAAAAAUAGGUUUGAAGUGGUCUAAUAGAUAACAAAUCAAUCCUAGAUAAUACUCGAAGACCAUCGAUAUGAUUGUGGUUAGAUAAUAUGUUUUUUUUAAAAAUUAUUUUUUUUAACGAUCAGUAUUUAUAAAAGCAAGACACAAAUAUCAACAAAUAUUAUAUCAAACAUCCUGUGUUCAUGAUAUUUUUUUCCAUUUAUUUAUUUGACGUUCUCAUGGAGACAUUUGAGGACGUUAUAUCUUUUUGACUUUGCUGAAUCUUUAAUCUUCUGGUCAAAUUACAAUGCAUCUCUUGUCACUCAGUUAGUUUUUGUUGUUAUUGUUAAAUAGUCAAACUUUGAUGUCAUAAUACUCAUAAUCACAUUUAGCUAUGAAUAUAGAACAAUGCCCAAUAAUAAGUAUGAUUCUAUCAAAUAUUUCUAACUUAUUUUCAUUUUUUUUUAACUAUUUAAUCCAAACCCUUUUCACAUUCCUCUCAGCUCAGGAUAUAUAUAUAUAUAUAUAUAUGUAUGUAUGUGGAAUUACUAAUUAACUUGAAAAUUGGUAUUUACUUGGUUGAUUGGCAUGGAACUAAUAAUUGAAAGUUCAAUUGACAUAAAUAUCCUUUAGUGAUAUUUUAGAAAAUGAGAUAAUUAUAUAUAAUAUAUGCUUUUAUAUAUUUUUAAAUUCAAACAAACUAACGUCAAUCACAAUACAAAAUGUGAACAAUAACGUCAUUGGAUGGAUGUUUUGCUAAUAUUUUGAGAAAUUAUUAUGUUAUAUUAAAUUUAUAAGGUUUAAUAUGCUAAUCCUAAAUUUAUUACGUUAUAUCGGCCGUUUAAUAAGGGUUGGGUUUCGGCUCAAUUCGACCAAAUUAUCUGUGAACCGUCGGCCCAUUAACCCAAUCUAACGGGAUGGCAUGCGGUUCGCCCAUCCUACGUUUUCUUUUUUACAUUGGCUAAAUUACCCUUAGGGUUAGCUUCAAAGAUUGGAGCCGCUUCCGGAAAGGAGAAAGUCGAUUGGAGCAGCGACAGAGAUCAUCGAGCGUUUGGGAGUUCCCAAGAGAUGAGCGCGAAGGUAAAUAUUUGAUCUUUCCCUCUGUUCAUUCUGCUUGAAUCGUUCCUUCUCUUGCGAUCCUUCGCUUGCGAUUGUUUUGUUUUCGAAGGCAUAUUGUCAUUUGCCUCCUUUUUACCAGGAAAAACUGUUCUAGAGCUAGCAUUGGUUUGUGCAGUUGUUGCGGAGCCGAGCCGCUAAAUUACACUUUAAAAUGUGUUUCCUAUGAAGGUAUCUUCCCACAUGAGCUAGCCUUUUACAUCUGGGCACCAUAUUGACAUGAGAUUUAUGAAGACCAUUUUACUGUGUGUUAAAAACGACAACAAUUGCAGAAUGCUUUUUUUUGUGCUUGGCUGUCGGGGGGCAAUUAUAUGGUAGAGUUUUAUGAACACAAAACAAACUGCUGCUAUCUGAUUCGCUGAGAGUCAUACUCUCCAUGUUAAGCAAACUUUUAUGUAAUCAAGGAUUGCAUUUUGUAGUCAUAUCCACAGAAGUGCAAAUAGGAGACGUUUCUCUUUUUUUGUUGCUUACCGGUCUUAAUCAAGUAAACAUUUUUUAUGUUGAAUUGACGGUUUGUUUUCAUGUUUUGUAUCAUAUUCAUCAUGGAGAUUUUAUGUUACCGAAAGACGACACUGUCGACGUAUAUCCAUAGCUUAGGUAUUGAAAAGAUCAUUGUGCCAACAGUUCUGUGAGCACAACACAAUCUAUAUAAUGGACAUCUCUGCCCAGCGUGAAGCUCCAUUUUCAAGAAAAGUAGUUGGUUGAUCAAUAAUGUUAUCUCCUAUUCACAUUCACUUGAUAUUUCCUGUUCGUUUUAUUUUGUAAGAUAGCUUCGGAUAGAAAAUAUUUAACUCGAGAUUUCACAAGUAAAUAUAUUAAUAAUACUUAAAAAAUAAAAUAUGUUACGAACAUAAACUUUACGAGUUCUGAAUAAACGUGUGAUAAAAGAUCCGAGGUGAUCUAUCACGCUCAAAAGUCUUCAGCAUAACAUCGUUACAGGACAAGAUAACAAAUUAACCUUAGACAAUACCUCAAAACUAUUCGAGUAGCUUCAAGGUGGUAUAUUGGCUUACACUUUGCAUUACUUAGCGGAGCUAGAAGACUCCCAAUAUAAUCGUGGUUAGAUAAUAUGUUCUUGAAAAUUUUAUCUUUACUUAACGAUGACACAUAAUUUGUAUUUACAAAAGUAAGAUGGUCUGAUAGUCCUCUACAUGUCAUGUAAAAAAUGAACAAAAUCGAAAGACACAAAUAUACACAAACAUUAUAUCGAACAUAUUGUGCUCAUGAUAUUUUCUCGUACUUAUUCCUUUAACGUUCCCAUCUUUAAGGAUAUUGUAUCUUCUAAUCAUUUCUGAACCUUCAAUUUUCUGCUUUAAUUACAAUGCGUUCUUGGCCUAGUUACUUUUUAUUAUUGUUGUUAUUAAGUAGUCAAACUUUGAUACCGUAAUACCUAUAAUUGAUGCAUUUGGCUAUGAAUAUAGAACAUGAUUCUUCAAAUAUUCAGAGAGUUAACUAAGAUAGGCCUGCCAACACACAUUGAUCAAAACCAACUACCAAAUCACAAAUGCUUCUUACAGAUACUAACAAGUCAAAUUGCCGAAGAGGUCAUCAUCACAGAGAUGGAAUGGAUGACCAAAUCCAUCGGAAAGAUGCAGCCUUCCAUUUCCAUUGUGGAUCAUAGUACUAGUUUGUGAUCUCACUGUUGUCAAUAGCCAUAUAUAAACUGUUCUACUUCCUAAAUCCGCAACCUCUUCUGUGAACUCUUGUGAAGUAUUUCUGCAUACCUUCUUUUUUGAGUCCGUAUGAUCCAUCUUCCUCAACUUAAUGUUGGCUGGUGAUCCCUUAAUAUGAUCCCAAUUCUCUGUGUAGAAGUGGAGAUGGCACUCCAAUCAAAUGCUUAGCUUCUUGUUUGUUGGCUGAGAAUUAUGAGAUGGUUUUGAGUCUUUUGACUGUGAUAACCUUAUUGCUUUGGAUGAAUGCCAUGCAUCUAAGCUUGACAGUGAGAACUGUUGCAGAGGACACUUCUGCAACAAAAGAUCUACAGCAAAUGUUCAACAAUUACUUCAUGAAUCUACUAUAUGCCUAAGUAGGAAAACAUACACAGACAUCUGAACCAAUCUAGAGAGAGAAUAGUACUACUGCAUGAAAGGAGCAAAGCAGUAGUACUGUGAAACCUCUGCCUACAUGCAUGCAUACAAAAAUAAGUCAAUUAUUUGGAUGAUUAUUGUUAAUAUUUUAAGAAAUUAUUACGUUAUAUUAAAUUUAUAGGGGUUAAUAUGCUAAUCCCAAAUUUAUUAUGUUAUAUUGGUCAUUUGCUGAGGGUUGGGUUUUGGCCCAAUUUGGCCCAAUUAUCUGAUAACUGUCGGCCCAUUAACCCAAUUUAGCAGGAUGACACGGUGUUCUUUCAUUAUGUUCUUUCAUCGGACGUUUUCCUUCCUCACAUUAGCUAAAUUAGGUUAGCUUCCUUCUCUGCAAUAAAUAGGAGCGAGCGGUGGGUUUGAACCCCUCGCCUCUUUCGAAGCCGCUUCCGGAUCGAUUGGAGCGAGCGUUUGGGAGUUCCCAAGAGAUGAGGGCGAAGGUAAAUAUUUGAUCUUUACCUCUGUUCAUUCUGCUUUAAUCGUUCUUUCGCUUGCGAUUGUGUUGUUUCGGAAGGCAUAUUAGCUUCUUAUUUUCUUUAUAGCAGUUCAAAUCGUAAUAGAGUAGCAUCGUUUGGCGAUCUGAUAGCAGGCUGCCGAGAGUUCCCUUUGAUCUUUUAGGGUUUGGGAUUGCGACGACAUUCUAUACAAAGAUUGGUUUCCCUUUGUUCUCUCUUCUCCUCAUUUGGUUAAACGCAUCAUUGUUUACGUUGGCAGAUCUUGUGUUUCUAUUGCUAACAAAACUCCAUGUACCGUAUGAUGAAGAGACUCAUCCCUUGUCCAUCUCAUGUCUAGAAGUUGAGCUGGCAUAAUAAUCAUCAAAUCCGUACCGAACACACGCAAAGUUGUUGUCUUUGUGCGUAUAUGUCGGUUAGGUUGUACUUGAACCUAAACGUUAUUUAGCGGGACCUUUUCUUAUGACAUCCAAUCUGAAUGUUUUUCUUUUAAUAGGAUCAUAUAUUUAUCCAUUUUAUCAUCGUUUUGUAUCAGCAUAACUAGGCAGAUGCACUUUGUGCUGAUAAGAUUUGUUCUUGAAUAGAUACUUUAGGUUUUGCUGUGGUUUUGUUAAUUGAGUGUUAAUUUAGUUGAUACUUCAUAGCUUGGAAUUUGAUUGUAUUUUUUGUUGAACUAAAUUGCGUAUGCCAUGCAUAGUUUCACCUCUAUCAUUAACCUCUGUCACUACAUGUCUUUGUCGCUUUUAGUGUAAUAUUCGUUUGUAUUAGUUUGUAAUAAUGUCUUGUCAAGUUAGGUGGAGUAGGAGAACGAGGGGAGUGAUCAAAGUGAUGAACCUUCUUGAUUAUUUUUUAUUUGGAUGAAAAUUUGUAUGGCUCAGAUAACUUUGUCAUUUUUCCUGGUUUUUAAUUCCUCCUGUUAUUUCUGACAUGCAGUGAAAGAUGAAAUACUUGAUUCUCAUCUAUUUAGUUUGUAUUUAAAGAAUGGUUGAGUUAUUCAGACUAUUCUGCUAUAUUGAUGAAAACUCUACCUAAUUCAAUUAUGUUCCACACUUUGUGUUGUACCCGUGGAAAUGUUAUUUGACUGGUGAUUCAAGUCAUAUUCAUAUCAUAAAUAUCUGUAUUUGACCAUGCCUGUCUACAGCAAAAUUGAGACAAAGGAGACAAAUAUAGCAAUGAGUUGCAUGAGGUUUUCAAGGGGAAUCAGCAUCACUAACAAGGCUGCUCGAUUGGUGGGUGCGAGAGGGUUCGCAAUAGCUAGUGGCAAGGGAAAGAAGGGCCCGAAAGGUGGCGCUAAUGAUGCGCCUAAAGCUUCACUUAUGAGCCAUGAAGUAAAGAGCACAACAGUUGUUGGAGCCAAUAUCCUCAAGGAUGGUACUGAUCCGAAGAUAGUGCCCGAUUCUGAGUACCCAGACUGGCUGUGGCGCUUGCUCGACAAACGCCCAACGCUGAGUGAACUGCGGCGGAAGGACUCGGAAUCUCUCCCAUUUGAAGACCUUAAACGCUUCGUGAAGCUGGAUAACCGUGCCCGAAUCGAGGGAAACAAUGCUGCCAGAGCUAAAAAUUGAAGUUUAUACUAGAAUGUUGCCAUUGUUGGCUGUUCUCUGCAGUGUAAUCCCGUUAUGUUUAGAAAUGUCAUUUUGUAAUGAUUUCUCAUGGCAUUGUCAUGAUGCUGAGAGUUCAUGAGUUUCGGUGACAAUGCCCAAUAAUUUGUAUGUUUCUAUCGGAGACUUCUAAAGUAUUUUCUUUUCUAACCUUUUGAUCUAAACCCUUUUCAAAUUUCUUUUAGCUCUGGCUAUAUGUAUAUGGAUUUUCUCUUUAACUUGGAAAUUGAUAUUUACUUGGUUGAUUGGCAUUGAACUAAUAAUUGAAAGUUCAAUUGACAUAAAUACCCUUUAAUGAUAUUUUAGUAAAUGAGAUAAUUAUAUAUAAUGUAUGCUUUUAUAUAUUUUUAAAUUCAAACAAUAAUGUUAUUGGAUUGAUGUUUUGUUAAUAUUUUGAGAAAUUAUUACGUUAUAUUAAAUUUAUAGGGGUUAAUAUGCUAAUCCCAAAUUUGUUAUAUUGCUAAUCCCAACUCAUUUGCUGAGAGUUGGGUUUGGGCCCAAUUUGGCCCAAUUUUCUUAUAACUGUCGGCCCAUUAACCCUAUUAAGCAUGAUUACACGGUGUUCUCACAUUAGCUAAAUUAGGUUAGCUUCCUUCGCUGCAAUAAGUAGGGGCGAGCGGUGGGUUUGAACCCCUCGCCGCUUUCGAAGCCGCUUCCGGAUCGAUUGGAGCAGCGACGUCGAGCGUUUGGCGUUUGGGAGUUCCCAGGAGAUGAGGGCGAAGGUAAAUAUUUGAUCUUUCCCUCAUUCUGCUUUAAUCAUUCUUUCGCUUGCGAUUGUGUUCAAAUAUUAGCUUCUUAUUUUCUUUAUAGCGGUUCAAAUCGUAAUAGAGUAGCAUCGUUUGACGAUAUGAUAGCAGGCUGCCGAGAGUUCCCUUUGAUCUUUUGGGGUUUGGGAUUGCGACGACAUUCUAUACAAAGAUUGGUCUCCCCUUGCCGAUUAGGUUGUACUUGAAAAUACCAUCGAUGUUCGAAGUCGAGGUAGGGUGUGAGAGGGUUCGCAAUAGCUAGUGGCAAGGGAAAGAAGGGCCCGAAAGGUGGCGCUAAUGAUGCGCCUAAAGCUUCACUUAUGAGCCAUGAAGUAAAAAGAGCACAACAGUCGUUGGAGCCAAUAUCCUCAAGGAUGGUACUGAUCCGAAGAUAGUGCCCGAUUCUGAGUACCCAGACUGGCUGUGGCGCUUGCUCGACAAACGCCCAACACUGAGUGAACUGCGGCGGAAGGACUCGGAAUCUCUCCCAUUUGAAGACCUUAAACGCUUCGUGAAGUUGGAUAACCGUGCUCGAAUCGAGGAAAUCAAUGCUGCUAGAGCUAAAAAUUGAAGUUUAUACUAGGAUGUUGCCAUUGUUGGCUGUUCUCCGCCGUGUAAUCCCGUUAUGUUUAGAAAUGUCAUUUGUUAACCUUCACUUUGUGGUAUAAUCCAGUUUGUAGUGGUUUCUCAUGACAUUGUCAUGAUGCAACUAAAUUAUCUCACUGAUGCUGAGAGUUCAUGAGUUUUGGUGACAAUGCCCAAUAAUAUGUAUGUUUCUAUCGGAGACUUCUAAAGUAUUUCUUUGGUUUUUCUAAUCAUUUGAUCCAAACCCUUUUCACAUUCCUUUUAGCNNNNNNNNNNNNNNNNNNNNNNNNNNNNNNNNNNNNNNNNNNNNNNNNNNNNNNNNNNNNNNNNNNNNNNNNNNNNNNNNNNNNNNNNNNNNNNNNNNNNNNNNNNNNNNNNNNNNNNNNNNNNNNNNNNNNNNNNNNNNNNNNNNNNNNNNNNNNNNNNNNNNNNNNNNNNNNNNNNNNNNNNNNNNNNNNNNNNNNNNNNNNNNNNNNNNNNNNNNNNNNNNNNNNNNNNNNNNNNNNNNNNNNNNNNNNNNNNNNNNNNNNNNNNNNNNNNNNNNNNNNNNNNNNNNNNNNNNNNNNNNNNNNNNNNNNNNNNNNNNNNNNNNNNNNNNNNNNNNNNNNNNNNNNNNNNNNNNNNNNNNNNNNNNNNNNNNNNNNNNNNNNNNNNNNNNNNNNNNNNNNNNNNNNNNNNNNNNNNNNNNNNNNNNNNNNNNNNNNNNNNNNNNNNNNNNNNNNNNNNNNNNNNNNNNNCGUUAUAUUAAAUUUAUAGGGGUUAAUAUGCUAAUCCCAAAUUUAUUACGUUAUAUCGGUCGUUUAAUGAGGGUUGGGUUUCGGCUCAAUUCGGCCUAAUUAUCUGAGAACUGUCGGCCCUUUAACCCAAUCUAAUAGGAUGGCAUGCGGUUCGUCCAUCCUACGUUUUCCUUCUCUGCUUACAAAUAGGAGCGGGCGAAGGGGUUGAAUCCUUACCUGCUGUCGAAGCUGCUUCCGGAGAGGAGAAAGUCGAUUGGAGCAGCGACAGAGAUUUGGGAGUUCCCAAGAGAUGAGGGCGAAGGUAAAUAUUUGAUAUUUCCCUCUGUUUAUUCUGCUUUAAUUGUUCCUUCGCUUGCGAUUGUUUUGUUUCUUAAGGCAUAUUAGCUUCUUAUUUUCUUUUUAGCGGUUCAAAUCGUAAUAGAGUAGCAUCGUUUGGCGAUUCGAUAGCAGGCUGUCAAGAGUUCCCUUUGAUCUUUUAGUGUUUGGGAUUGCGACGAGAUUCUAUACAAUGAUUGGUUUCCCCUUGUUCUCUCUUUUCCUCAUUGGUUAAACGCAUCAUUGUUUACGUGGUUAGAUCUUGUGUUUCUAUUGCUAACAAAACUCCAUGUACCAUAUGAUGAAGAGACUCAUCCCUUGCCCAUCUCAUGUCUAAGUUGAGCCAGCAUAAGAAUCAUCAAAUCCGUACCGAACACACACAAAGUUGUUGUCUUAGUGCGUAUUUGUCGGUUAGGUUGUACCUAAACCUAAACGUUAUUUAGCGGGACCUUUUCUUAUGACUUCCAAUCUGAAUGUUUUUCUUUUAAUAGGAUCAUAUAUUUAUCCAUUUUAUCAUCGUUUUGUAUCAGCAUAACUAAUCUAACUAAGCCAAUGUAAGCUAGGCAGAUGCACUUUGUGCUGAUAAGAUUUGUUCUUGAAUAUAUACUUUAGGUUUUGCUGUGGUUUUGUUAAUUGAGUAUUAAUUUAGUUGAUACUUAAUAGCUUGGAAUUUGAUUGUAUUUUUUGUUGAACUAAAUUGCGGAUGCCACGCAAAGUUUCACCUCUAUCAUUAACCUCUCUCACUACAUGUCUUUGUCGCUUUAGUGUAAUAUUUAUUUGUAUUAGUUUAUAAUAUUGUCUUGUCAGGUUAGGAGGAGGAGUAGGAGAACGAGGGGAGUGAUCGAAGUGAUGAACCUUCUUGAUUUUUUUUUAUAUGGAUGAAAAUUUGUAUGGAUCAGAUAACUUUUCAUUUUUCCUGGUAUUUAAUUCUUCCUGCUAAACCUUAUUUUUGGGUUUCUCUGUUUUCGAUAGAGGUAUUCACAAGGUUAUUGGUUAUAAACGGCAUGGCAUUGGCCAUGACCAGUUAAUUGGUGUAAGAGCUUCUAUAGGAACAUAUAUGUUCUAUAUAAAUUUAUAGGGAUAAAUAAACUAUUUCCGAAUUUUGUAAGAAUAGAUGUGUAAAUUAACUUAUUGAUAGGGUUAUCAAUAAUAAUUGAGAAUAUAACAAUCAAAGGCAUUUGCCCAUUGCUGGUAUGUAGAGAUUAGGAAUCUGUCUCGACCUAUCCAAGUUUAUUAGUCAAUACCUGGCUUACAGGCCCAUUCAACCAGGAUGGGUCUGCCCAUCUUACGAUUUACAAAUUUUUGUUUGUCAAAAUGACUAAAAUACUAUUAGGGUAUGCUUUCUUCUCAGGUGAUAAAUAGGAGUGCAUAAGCUUGGUUUCACAUUACCCGGACUCAAAGCUGCUCCAGGUGAAUAGAGGGAGGGGGAUCAGGAGUUCUGAAGAGAUUAGGGCGAAGGUAAAGAAAGAUCUUGUCCUUGGUCAUUUGCCUUCUGAUUGUCCGUGGUGAUUUUGUUGUUUUGGGGUUUAGAUCAGUUUUUUUUUCUUAUGUUGUGGAUCAAGGGAGAAAAGAACUUUUAUAUCUUGAAAAAUUUGAGUCUUGUAGAUUGUUUUUGAAGGGCAUACUUUAGACAUUUUCAUGUUUACCUUGAAUGGAUCACACCUCUAUUCCCUAGAUGAUGGCCAUGGUGUGUGUGUGUGUGUGUGGGUUUUUGUGAGACCUGUCAAGAUGCUUAUAAUUUUUGGAGGAAUAAAAAAAAAUGAAGAUUUUCAGUUCAAGUGCUAUGCUGCAGCAGAUAUUAAUUUGUUAGAGUAGAUCAUUUUGGUGCUUCUUUGUGGUUUUCUUCUAAUUGGCCAUCCUAGUUGAUGAUGAAUCUCUUGUUAUAUUUUCAUGCUCGAAAAGUGAAAUAUAUUGUUCUAAUCCAUUUAGUUUGUAUUUUAAGAACCAUUUCGUGUGCACAUUGCUUCUAGCAGACAUUGUUGCCAGAGUGGAACUCUUUUGUGUUUGCCAUCUUGGUUAAAGAUCCUCCUGUUAUUUCUGACCGGAGUGGAACACUUACAGACUGGAAACCAUUUUGCGAGAGUGGAACAUUUUUGUGUUUGCCAUCCUGGUUAAAUAUCCUCCUGUUAUUUUUGACAUAGAGUGAAAGAUGAAAUACUUGAUUCUUAUCUAUUUAGUUUGUAUUUAAAGAAUGGUUGAGUUAUUCAUACUAUUCUGCUAUAUUGAUGAAAACUCUACCUAAUUCAAUUAUGUUCCACACCUUUGUGUUAUACCCGUGGAAAUGUUAUUUGAUUGGUGAUUCAAGUCAGAUUCAUAUCAUAAAUAUCUGUAUUUGACCAUGCCUGUCUGCAGCAAAAUUGACACAAAGUAGACAAUUAUAGCAAUGAGUUGCAUGAGGUUUUCAAGGCGAAUCAGCAUCACUAACAGGGCUGCUCAAUUGGUGGGUGUGAGAGGGUUCGCAAUAGCUAGUGGCAAGGGAAAGAAGGGCCCGAAAGGUGGCGCUAAUGAUGCGCCUAAAGCUUCACUUAUGAGCCAUGAAGUAAAGAGCACAACAGUCGUUGGAGCCAAUAUCCUCAAGGAUGGUACUGAUCCGAAGAUAAUGCCCGAUUCUGAGUACCCAGACUGGCUGUGGCGCUUGCUAGACAAACGCCCAACGCUGAGUGAACUGCAGCGGAAGGACUCGGAAUCUCUCCCAUUUGAAGACCUUAAACGCUUCGUGAAGCUGGAUAACCGUGCCCGAAUCGAGGGAAACAAUGCUGCCAGAGCUAAAAAUUGAAGUUUAUACUAGGAUGUUGCCAUUGUUGGCUGUUUUCUGCAGUGUAAUCCCGUUAUGUUUAGAAAUGUCAUUUGUUAAGCUUCACUCUGCGGUAUAAUCCAGUUUGUAGUGGUUUCUCAUGACAUUGUCAUGAUGCAACUAAAUUAUUUUCCAUGGAAUUUAUACUCUGAGAAGGCAGAAUCACUUGUAUUGUGUGUGUGUGUGUGUUAGGUUCCAAAGGGGCCAUAAAUAUUCAGCUUCUUAAUUGUCAUAUCAAAGAAUAUUAGGUAUUGCUUGUUACCAUCAAGAUUACACUUAAUGGUGGGUGGAACAAGUGAUUUGCUUUUUUUUUUUUGUGGGGGGUAUGAAUUUGGAUCAAUCUUCAAUGUUCCAUCAGAAUGCGUUUUUACUUUUUGUAGUUUCAUGGUUAUGCUCAAGUUGCUUUCAUAUGGUAUUUUUUUCACCUGGUUUACCAUUCAACAUUUGUUGUUACUACUUUGCUAUCUAAGAAAAAAGAACUUUGAGAUGUAUAAUUCCCUUUGGGAUGACUUAUGUGUGGAAUAGACAGACAGGUGGAUUUACUCCCUGUAUCAAGUUAAUUAGACUCACUAAUCUUACAGAAAACCUUGUUUCAGUGUUAUGUGACAAUGAUUUAGCUGUUUUGUCUUGAAAAAAAAAUCGAUUUCGCUGUUUUGCCUUGAAAAGAAAAUUGAUUUAACUUCACAUUAUCUUGCAGUGGAAGAAGAAACGCAUGAGGAGGCUCAAGAGGAAACGCCGAAAGAUGAGGCAGAGGUCAAAGUAGGCAUGUAUGGCUGCACAGCAUCUCAGUUUUGAAGGUGAUUGAUUCUGAUUCCGUUUUCCGCAUGAUGGUGGGUAGGGUGUAUUCAAUCGAGGCAACACAGUAUCUGAUACUUUGUUAAACAUACAGUUUCAGGAACUCAAUACUUUGUUUAGGAAGUUGAUACUUGGUGAUUUACAUUCAACAGUGGUGUUUUUGUUCGACACAGUAUCUGAAAUUAAUCAUGCUCUUUGUCUUGUUGAAUUGGCCUUUUUCAUAGUGGUUUUAUUUAUGUCUGUGUAAGAGUAGAGUACCACUAACAGGGGUUGCUUCUUGGAAAAUAGUUAAUAUGCUUUCUGAUGAUAUUUUUUGUUCCUGGUUUUGUCAAGUGAUCGUUCAACUGUUUUGGAAUGAGUUCAGGGCAACAAUUUGAGUUAGGAAUUGUAUGGUUAUGAUGAUGUGUUUUAACUCAUAGCAGAUUGAAGAAUUUGGUGAAGAGCAAAGCAUGCAAACAGUUCUACACUAAAUGCUUGCAUGAGCAAAAAAAAAAAAAAAAAUUAGUGAUUCUUGUAGGAGAACUUUUCAAAUGGUCUAUUAGCAUCAUAUUCGGUAAUGAUUAGUCUAUAAUCGAUUUAUAUUUGUAAAGAUUUAUUUUUUAACCAGCUUAUUAAGCUCGUUUGGUCUAAAUCAUUCAUCAAAAUGUUUAAGCUGAAAUUGAUAAUAGUACACUCAUCAGACUCUUAUAAGACAAUCUUAAUCCUGUCCACUUUUGAUGUGGAACUAAUCAGGGAUAUUACAUUUGUUCACUUCAAUUCCAAUCAGAUGAAAAUAAGCUUUGAUAUGAAUACAUUAUGUAUGUUAUACAUGUUGAAUAUAUGUUUUUUUUUUUUUUUUUUUAAUUUCAUCAUGAAUCGUAUAUGUUAAUCGACAAACAUAUUGUGUUGCAUGUCAUAUUCAUCUUAUCAUCGUCUUAUUUAAAUUAAUUUAUAUAUUUAUUUUAAUUAUAUAACUUCACAUUUUUUCCUUGCUUAAUUCGAGAUUAGGUACGUCUAAUCGACAUGCCAUGUGUUUUAUAAUUAUAUUUACAAAAGAAUUCCUCCUUUUUAUUCUUGUCUUCCUCUUCUUCUUUUUUUUUUUUUUUUUUUCUCUUUCUUCCUCUUUCUUUCUUUCGUUCUUUUUCUCCUUAUUUUUCUACUCUUCUCAAUGGGAAUGAUGACAACUUUCCUAAUCAAUGAUGAUAUUACUCAAAUACCCAUUUUAUAACUCGAUUUUAUUUAGAAAAUAAAGAUUUACCUGUAAUUAGCAUAUAUAUAUAUAUAUACAUACAUAUAUACAUAUAAAUAUAUAUAAAAAUAUAUAUAUAUAUAUACAUACAUACAUACAUAUAUAUAUAUAUAUAUAUAUAUAUAUAUAUAUUUAUAGAAAUAUAUAUAUAUGAUAACUACGCCCAUCUAGUCAACUACUCGAAAUAGUUGGCCAAAAUAAAAUUAUUAUUAUUUACUCCUUGCAAUGUUGUCAUGGAAUCAAGCAGCAUUUAUUUGCGACACAUGAUAACAUGAACACCGCUACAUAAUUAACUGUUCAUUUAAUCUCAUCACCACGAGUUACUUUGAAGCUUCACGUCUAUAAAUACGUAGGUGGCCUCGCCACAGUUACCGCCUCUCUAUGACUUACGUCUCCUCUCCCCUCUCUGUUGCGCUGUUCGCUGCAGGACUCGCAGAGAAAAUAGACGUCGGGAUGGCUGCGGAGGUGAGCUCCUUGGCGACAACCCUCGGGGCAUACGAGGACGACGCGGAAGGAGAGAGCGAGCUCGUCACCCGGGACUUGCUUGGCGGCGGCGGCGGCGGAGCCGGCGACGUGGAUCUCCAGCUCCAUGUCCCCGCCGGCUGGCCGACCCGCAUCGACCUCCCGGUACGUGUCGCUGCUCGUAGCUCAAUUCACUGUUCGUCGCGUCGCUUGUUGGAAUUCCAAUCUGAUCUGGCCUUCAUUGAUUCCAAGAUUUAGGUUCUCCUUUUUUCCCCUCUUUGGUUCGUUUCGUUGAAUCGAUUGUCGUCGGUGCGGAUUGCUGUGGUCCUUCGAGUCCGAAGCACCAAGGAUUCUCUUCCUUUUGACCCCCAAAAGAACGAUUCUGUGGAUCGUACAUCCGCAUCCAUUUUAUCUCGUACUGGAUCUCCUAUUCCCCGCCGAUGCCGCGCCCUAAUUAUUUAGUUGUCGCUCGCGCUUUCGAUGCAUAUUUAAUUGUAAUAAAAGGUUCUGUUUUUGGUCUUUCGAUCGGUCAAAGAAGCUGUUUCGAUGAGAAAGAAUCCUUUUUUUCCCCAUGAACUCAUGUCGAAGUCGCCGAUUUGAGUCGUCCUAGUUCAUUCUUGCUUUGAUUCGACUAAGAGCAUCUCGAUUCCCAUGGUUGCAGUCCGGGAAGGCGAGCCUCGAACAGCGGGACCCCGAUCCCGCUCCCCGCCAUCUGCACGACCUUAACCUGUCGCCGCCGUCGCCGUCCGUCGCCUCUCUCGCCCUCGAGCUGGCGUCACCCUCCGCCGAGUACCAGAGCGUCUGCACCCUGGAGAAGGUCAAGUCGGCGCUGGAGCGGGAGUCGCGCCUCGUCGCCACCACCGGCCCCGCGUCCCCGCCCCCCUCUUCCACCACCUCCUCCUCCUCCUCCUCCUCCGCCGUCUCGACCAAGCGUCGGGCGCCGACCUCGCCGGACGAGGACGGCGCCGCGGGAAGCACCAUGGCGGUGGCCACCUGCCCGGUGUGCCUCCUCUACGUGCUCGUCUCCAAGGCGGAGCCCAGGUGCCCCAGGUGCGCGGCGCAUGUGCCGGUGAACGACCUCCUCAAGAAGAAGCCGCGCAUCGACCUCAACUCCUCCCUCCCAUCCCACUGAAACCUGCACAGAAGCGAGAACAAUACCCAAAUCUUCGAUUCCCGAGCGUAGAAGACGAUUACUACUACAAGGGUCAAAAAAACGAAGAAAGGCCUCUCCAUUUUUGGCGACUGUAAGAAUUUGUUCUCGGUUCAUGGUGUUCCACCGUGAGAUGAGAUCAUCGUGCAGCAGUUUGUUCUGCCCUUUCUCUGGGCAUUAAACCUGCCAUUAAAUUUUGGGGGUUCAAAUCUCACUUGUCACAGGAUGCUCUCUUCUUCUUGAUGCAACCCUUCACCGGUGAUUUGCGUGGUUGGUGGUGUUUGCACAUAGCCAUGCGGGUGCGGAGACUGUACAGCGGAAGCCUUAAUGGAGGCCUCCGAAAGGACUCGUAGCAAUCACAAGGAAUGGGACAGACUACUGAAACCAACUAAAUAAUUGAAUGGGACUUUCCCUGCAAUAAUUUUAAUGCAGUAAAUAUAUAUCUUAAACACAAAUUAAUAUUUGAAAAUAAUUAUUUAUAUUAAUAUUUUUCUUGCUUUUUUUAAUUGGUGAAAAGGGAUGUCGUCGUCUGCCGUCAGCUCAACUUAAAAAGACUGUUGCAUACUCCGUCUGUAAUAAAUGACGGGUGUCCCUAUCCGACAUUUAAUGCAGCAAGAAGGGCGCCUGAUCGUGACACGUGGUGCGUCAAUUAAUGCAGCCAUUUGUUCUCUUGCCGCGCGUGAGUAGCUGACGCCACGAAAACGAAUCGGGCCCCACUCGCCAUCAAUAAAGAACGGUCAAAACCAAACCAAGCGGGCCCACUAAAAUGACAGUUGGGUGUGUCAUAAGAUUAUAUAUUAGUUUUCCUUGGGAUGUACCUCUCUCUCUCUCUCUCUCUCUCUCUCUCUUUCUGUGUGCCAAAAAUAAAAUAUUACUCUUCGGUUUGAUAAAAGCAACAACGUGCCACAAUGUAUCUACGACCAUGGAAUUAUUUUAUUAAAAUUAAUAUAUAUAAUUUCAGACAAAUUCUCAAUUUUUUAAUAAAAUAUAAAGAUAAAUAAGGAAGAUGAGAUACAACCAAGUUUUAUUUCUUACCAUAUAAUAUCUCUAUUUUUUAAAAUUUCAACAUUAUCUCUUUAUAUUUUUAGCUUUUUUCUUUUUUAUUUUUUAUUUUUUAAAAGCACCAUAUUUUUAAUUUUUUUUUCAAAUGGUAUCUCUAUUUUGAGUAAAACUAAAAAUAUCCCUUACUAGCCCUAAGAUAUUAAUUAUUCCAUCUAAUUUUGGUUCAAGUGAAUGUUAUAAUUUGUUUCGCCUAUUUUCAUAUUUUGACUAUCGUAAUAAAAAUACUAUAAUAUCUAUUUAAAAUAUUAUAAAUAAUAAUAUGAAAUCACUUACAUGUUUUUUUAGUAGUUUUAUAGUAUUUUCAAUAUCUUUGCACCCUAAUGAUAUUUUUGAUAUUAUUUAAAAUAGAAGAUCAUUUGAAUAAAAAAAAAUGAGGACAUCUUUCGGAAAAAAAUGAUAAUAAAAAUAAUAAGGGCACUAUUGAGUAUCUUUUGAAUUUUAUGUUGAUAUAUAUUCAGCAACAAUACCAAUCAAAUAGUAAAUCUUAAUUAUUUAAGAUGGAGAAUCUUUUAUCACUAUUAAAUAUAUUGAUAUAUAUUCUAAAUAUAAAUAUCAAACAUUCAAAGCAAACCCACAUCUACACCCUUAGGAUGUGUGGAUAUGUACAGAUCCAAAGCACCUAACAUCCAUUAAAACCUGACCCCUCCUUGAAACGGCCCAACCCAACCUUAGAGAGAGAGAGAUCGAUUGAGAGAGAGAUUUCAAUAGGAGUCGCAUAAACUGAUCAAAAUGCAAUUAUUGUUUUUAGGGCUACAACAAAUUUACAAGUGUCUACGAACAUCUAAACAAUCUUUCUUAGAUCCUUCGGGUCGUCCGAAGCGGAUUCAAGAAAACAUUGUGGAUCUGCUCGUCUUCUGCUAACUUGUAUGGUUGACUACAAGCAUCGUGUCAGGAACAGGCAGGUGAUGAGAUGGUCAGCUCCAAGUUUACGUGCUUCUUUGCUGCACUUGAUCCCCGGUCGCCCGUGUCUGCCAAGCUUCUCUGAUUCCGGUAGGCAAAAGACGAUAAGCUCGGCUCGCGGUUGGUCUCCUUCGGCGGCGAUCGCUGAGAAUAAGCGAGCUGGAGUAGCUGCAACGACGAAGGAAGAGUGGGAUCGACCGCUUGUGAUCAGGACAAUGUAAUGUGAUGAUGAGGGUGUCAAACCUGGCUGUUGUCUUCGGUCAACGUGUCUCUUGGAAAGAUGGAGGCCAUGUUCUUUGCUGCCCAGUCUCUCAGCAGCUCCUCAAACGUCGGCCUGCAAUCCAGAGUCGACGCUUUAGAGGUAGAAGAAGAUGUCUGCUGCAAGAAAGACACUGAGAGAGAAAGAAGUGAAGGAGCCGGACACCCACGUACGAUUGAAUUGAACGGGUGAGACCGAGGUGUGCGUCCGCUCUCUGCUUCGGCAGACUGUAAGCCAUGAGGACGUCGUGCCGCGGUGCUUCCCGUUGCGUGCUUCGGUUCUUCUCGCAGUGGGUGCUCGUGCUUCUGUACAUCUGUUACCAGAAGAAGAAGAAGCAAGAGAGGCAUCAGAAGGCAUGUGUGAAUCCGAAACAUGCAGCCUUGACUUUGAGAUAUGACUCACAUUUGUCUUUCACCAUUCACACACCCAACUUCUAUCUUACCUUUGGAAUUGAUAUGGAACAUUAAAAAAGCUGUGACCAAACAUUUGUUUCUUCCGAUCAUUUGACUAUUCUAUUACUGAUGGAUAUAUGUGACAGAUGUUGUAAGAUGAAGAUUGGAAGAAUUGGAGUGUGCAGAAGAAGUAAACAAUCAUUACUGUUUUCUCAUGGAAAAGGAUUGGAACAAAUUACCUGCAGAUGGCUUUUGACAUGAGAUAUGCUUAUUCCUUUUACGCCCAUUAACUGUUGAAUUCUCUUUGGAGUUGCUUCUGCAGGAAUGUAUGUACGUAAACAAGAAAGAUUUAGUCUGUUUGCACAUUUCGAAGAAGAAGAAGAAGGAAAACAGAGUCUUCCGAUGUGCUCGUGAGAGAAAGCAGUCAUUGGCGACUUACCCGUUUCUCCUCCGAGGCAAUCGACUGCUUCGACAAAGCACCGAUGCAGCUCCUCCGUCCAUCGCAUGCGAGGAGCGUCGGUUCUGUUGUACUGCCUCACCCUUCUUCCCAAGAAUCUCAUGCCUUGAUCCGUACUCCUCCUUCCCGAGGUAUCUUGAUAUCUUGGCCGAGCCGAUGAAGUUGUUUAUGUAGGAGGGAGGCUUCUGAACUUUACGACAGGACUCGGUCAAACAUUCCCAAAGCCCUCCAAAGAGGUAGAAGGAAUGCCCUGCGGUUCGAGAAAAGAACAGCAACGACAGUACAAUACCAUGUCCUUUUGAAUAUGGAGACGAAGCUUAGCAUUGCUGUCAGGACUCAAAGAGCCACCAGCCAUGUAAGAGAAACUGUCAAUGGUUGAAUGAUUCCACAGACCUCGUUCCCACGAAUGCGUUGAAUGGCAUCGCUCCCUCCCUAUUCAUGGAUGCGUAAAGCAUCGGUUUCCACAUGAAGCACUGUAGCACAGGGCAGAUGGAUCGCGGAGGUCCAAGAAUACUUUUUUCUCUUCCCUCUUCUGGAUCAUGUUUCCGUACAGAAACAGAUCUUUUGGUACGGUGCGACGACUAGGAAUGGUGCGUCUUCGUCGUGCUUGUUUCAUGGCUCGAAGCUGAUGGAUUACUUUAUGCAGCUUGUGGUUGACAUGAAAGCCUUGCGGGAGUGAAAUGCUGACAAAGGAUGCCGCCUUUGGCUCACUUGUCCACGACAACAGAGAGAAGGUUUGUGAGAGAAGCAAACAGCACGGCGGCGUCGUCAACGAUAGCCAUCUCAAUCGAGAACGACUUAGAGAUCAUUCUCAGGCACCAACCCAGCAAAGAUGAGGAUCCAAUCAACAUGGUCAGAGCCAAUUCUCAAUCACACCAAAGAUCUUCUCUCUCCUCUCUCUUUUUCCUACUUUUUAUCUAGAAAAAUUAUCUGAUUUAGACAUCGGAAGGAUCGAGUUGAAUCCACUUAGAUCUUCGCUUAUGAGGUUAAAAUUUUCCGAAAUGCAUAUCUCACCUUUUCGGAUCCUAUCAACCGUCUUUUCUUCCUCCACCAUUAAUCAAAAUACUUGUCGAGGAUAAUUGUUACCCUCUAAAACUAGAUCGAAUUAUCUCUGUAAUUCACAUGACUUUCGGAUAUCGUUAAGAGGUCAUGGAUAUGUAUAAACAACAAUUAAAAACUGAGAUAGAACAAAGGAAAUCACUGCUGAACUCCAUUGAAUGAAUUGGAGAAGAGAUAGACUUCCAUUAGAGAGGUUCUUCACGCUUCACCGAUCUCUAAAUAGUGUUCAACCACCUUUUUGUUGGCUUAUGAUUUGACUCACAUAACAAUAACUAUGGGAGAAACCCAAAGCCGAAAAGCUUACCCAUCAACCUCGAGAUAUGACUUUUACACAUUAAUUCCUCCGAUCUAUCCAAUGAGUUCAUUCCAUGUAAUCCAAAGACGGUGCCUACUUUUGAACUUGUUUCGUUUGCUUGCUUGCCGUGUCUGAACCAAUCAACUUGUCAUUAAGCGAAGGAGAAUUAGUAGGACAUCAAACCAACACAUUCUUCGCACCACCAAAAGACCAAUAAGAAAAGCAGCACAGCUGCUUCCUGAGCUUUUGGGUCAACAAUGUGAGUUAGAAGGAUACGAAUUAGUUCGAUUCAAACAAUCCAAUAAAAAAAAAGGUCAGAAAAUUCAACUCCUAUUUGUCCCAAAGAUUGGAAGGUUGAAUAAUCCUUUUUAUAGCCACAACCAAAGGAUAUGAGACUUCAAAGAAAAAAAACAAAAAGAUCUGAUUGCAUCAGAACUUUCAGUACUAUCUAACUUGUAAAGACUAUAAAUCAUCAUAACGUAUGAAUAUACUCGACAUUUAUCAGUUUAAGCUUUAAGCUUUUGUCUGAGAUAAAAAUGGUUGUGUGUGAUGUAUCUUCAGAAGAAACAGUGCUAAGAAAAUGCUGAAAUAGAAUUUGGCAAGAGAAUAUUUGUAGAACGUCGUGAGGCUUCGAAUUGGUCACUCGAUAUCAACUUAAUUAAAAGGAAAAGAAAAGAGAAUUAUAAUUAGUUGAUGAGAGUGGAUCAUCUUCAAUCAGGCAUUGUCAAUGAGACUGCAGUGAAUGACCUUAGAGAAGCUUGGCUUUAGCUUUGCGUCGACUUCAUUGUACUGUCGAGUUGCUUCCUUCCUCUGUUUGACUUCAGAGGAAGGAUCUCUUGAAACUGAAUGAAUCAAGAAGGAUUGUCAGAACUUUAUUCAGAGAAUUAUCUUAUAGAUUUUGUACUUAUUCUUCUUACUCGAUUGGAUUGACUUGUGCUCUAAAAACUUGUUCUUGUUGUUAUAUACUGUCACUACUUGUACUUUUGGUCUUUUCUCUCCUUGUUCCUUUGUAUAAACUCCCCUUCUACAAAUGAAUAUUUCUCAUCUUUUAUGUCAAGAACAAAAACAACAUGAUUUUUGUUGAAAUGUAGGAGAAUAGAAAGACAGCUGAAGCCCAACUCUUUUCUCUUUGGUAAGAGUCUUGAAAGCAAUGAUCAGAGACAGCAAUCUAGUGCAAAUGUGGAGACUUACAUGCUACCUUUUAUGACCCAACUACUCCAGGAAAAUGGUGUAAAUGUGGUUGACUUUUGGCUGCAAAGCAUACAAGUAGAUAAUUUGACUUUUGCUAAUGAAAAUAUCUUGGAACACUGCUCACCAUGUCAACCUAAACCUACAUUACAUGCAUACAAUUCUGUGAUUAGUGAAACUAAUCCUCUAUAAAAAAUUUAUAAUCAACCAUCUUAAAUGUGUUUCUAGAAAUCUUUGUUGAUCGUAAAUUUUAUUUUGUAUUCCGAAAGACCUCGAAGAAGCGUUUUCAAAUUAGUCUAAAGAUUAAAUAGUUGACUCAUAAAAUAUUCUAAUAAAAAAUUGAUCAACAGUCAAGUCAAGAUAGACGGCAUAAUCACGGGUUCAUUGUCAAAAUAAAAAUUUAAAUCUCUAAAAAAAUUUAAAAAUAAAAUUCAGAUUUAAUGAACGAUGAUCGACCUUCAAGUAUACGAGACAAUUCUGAUUAUGACAAAAUUAAUUAAUUAUUUUAUCGAAUGGUUCCCAUGAGUUGGGCAUGGAUACACUAAUUAUUGCUAUCCAAUCUUACCUUUUUUAAGACAAAAAUUCGAUUUAAAUCUUAAUUGUAUUACACAUUCUAUUAAGAUAACAUUAAAAGCGCAACGUUUCAAUUUCCAUAAUACGUUCUGUAAUAUUCAACUUUAUAUUUAAAAGCAUAAUAUGUAUAUAUAUAUAUAUAUAUAUAUAUAUAUAAUGAUAAAAAUAUUAGCAAAUAGGGGCAUGUAAUAAAAUAUAUUAAUCUAACUCGGUCCUGAAUGAAGAGAAUGCCGUGGUGGACCGGUUGAUUAGACCGGUCCAGAUUUGGAAGCAAAUCGGUCCGGUUUUCUCUCUCUCUCAAUUUUCCCGUUUCCCUCUUAGAAGACCGAUUUAAAUUUCGAAAUCCACUCCCAUUCUUCCUCAAAUUCCCGUUUCCGGUCGAAACGAAAGCCCUCGACGACGGACGAGAAGAAAGAAGGCGAUUGCGAACUCUGAUCGCGCAGGGUUUCCGAGGAGUCUCCCGUCAUCUCCCUCGAUUGCUCCACCCCAUGAAGCGCUCCAAGUUCCGCGUCAUCGAACAGGUCCUGGGGUUCUUCGAAUCCGUGCUGAUGAGUUGCUUCUUCGGUUGCUUUCGGAUCAAAGAUGAUGCUCGGAGGAAGACCGAUUCAUGCGCCAAUUCGAUCUCCUCCGAGGACAGGGUAUGAGAUGCUUGUCCGUUCUUUGUUUGUUCGAAUCAUGUGUCUUUCACUGGUAUUUAUGGGGUGUUAUUAUGUGAUCUAUUAGGUUUCUUUGGUAUCAACAAAGGAGCUUGCGUCUGAUUCCUUGUUUCGAGGUAAAUGUCUGAUCCUUGAAAGGAAAGAUAGUUAUUUUGAAUGGUUUGUGGCUUGAAUCUCGACUUUAACUUCUCUAACAAAUCCUGAACUUUCUCGGUCAGAGCAAGAAGCAUAUUCGUGUGUCGUGGAGAAUAUUGAAGAAAGUAGCUUUCAGAAGGAUCUUGAGAUUCAGGUGUGCAACUGCGAUCCCGUUUGUUCUUGAAUAGGAUUUGUUGCAUCGAAUCUGCUCACUUUAGACUGAUAUUGCCAUCAUGGAUUGCAUGUGUGGAUGAAGCAGCAAGUCUUGUUUACCAUGUCACUAGGCAUCAAUUUUGCUAGUUUAGUUCAAUCACGUACUGAUAUGAACGCCUCGUGCAUGCUUUGGAUAGUUGAAUUUAUUAAUUGAUUACAAUAUUAUGAUUACUUUUACGUAUAAUUCAUGUAAACCAACUACUCUACUUGUACUCUGUUCUUAUUAAGAAAUGUAUUUCAUGGCCUUCAUGUCGGAUUUAUUAUUGAGGAUAAUGUUACAAAGCCCUGGGUUUCCUUGCAUUUGAGUCUUUAACUUGUUAUGUUAUGUUAACCCUAUCAUAUGCAUUUGGGUCUUAACUUGUUUUGCUUGAUAAUUGGCUAAAUAUCAUAUUCUUAUUGCUUUGAUUUAUACAACAAUCAUUUAGUUUUUCAAGUUAACUGAAGAAUGACACUAUUUUUUUGAUGAAUUAUUGCCAGGCUAAAUUUCUAAAGAAUUGUGGUGCACUAUCAAAAAUUCCUGAAGAAAUACUGAGAACGCCAAACAAAAUAUUUUCUCAGGCAUCUAAGGAUGAUUCGUCUCUUAAUUUCCCCUUGCGACUUCCUGGAUUAUACGGAAUGGAUGAUAAUUUGGACGAACAGAGUGAUCCAAGAGCGCACAGCGUGGAGAAACUGGACGAUAGUUUUGGACUGUCAGAAAAUGAAUUUGAAGGGUAAAAAUUUUUCUUCCCUUCUUAUAGGUUUAAAUAUCUACAAGUUCUAUUAUUUAUUUAAUUUUAACCUUUAGUGCUGAUGAUUAUACUUUUGAAUGUUAUGUAGCUCUAUCUUAGAGGAACAAGAGACAGUAAGGAAGGUUCUGCAAUUUGAUGUGAAUAAGCGUCUAUCUCAAGUAGAUCCUGCGCCGGAUCUUGUUAAUUUGGAUAUUUCUCCUUCUCGUGGUGAUAGCAAGCCUCAAAGGGUUGAUUCUAGUGAUUCACCUUAUCCUACUCCAUUGAAUUUAACCAAUGAAAUGCAGACCCCUGGAACAGUUUAUCCAGUGAAUCUGGAUAGUCUUAGAACCGGAAAGCACACCAGGAUCCGCACGCAAUAUGUAUAUCCUGUUUUGAAGCCUGUGGAGAAUUUGCCUCAGUGGGAUGCACUGAGACGAGGCUCUUGCCAGCAUGUUCAGUCGGAUGAUUCCUUUGAGCAGCAGUUGAGUUCCAGAACAGAUAGUGUAGAGAGAAGAAACAAGGUUUUCCUGACUCCAGCUCGUCAGGAUUCACAGUUUAUCAAUUCAUGGUUGCUAUCUUCCCGUGGAAAGAAAAAUCAAGAUGGAGACAGAAUCUUUACAGAGAAAUCUGUUGACAAGAUAAUGCCACCUGACUUGACACUAAUUUCAAGUGGCAGAGAUCGAGUAGACGUUGAACCAGAUACUCCAGAGCUCAUAAUCUCAAGCUUAUCUCGGUGGCUGAAGCCGAAGCCUCUUAAAAAUAGGAAUUUUGAUGUUACUGCCUUCAUUUCUAAUGAACAGUCUUGUCCUGUGAUGAAUUUUGAUGCUGAGAGGCCUAUAAUCGGAACUGUUGCUGCACAUUGGACUGACGACGAUGCCUGUUCUAAUUCCCAUGGGCAUUGGAAUGGUAAUGGAAUUCCAAAUUCAACAACCAAGUAUAAGGAGGUACUUAUUCUUUAGUUUUGUUUUACAACAAGUGCUUCGUUGUGAUGAAGGUUUAAAAUAAAUUCUGUUCUCAUUAUUAGGAUCAGCGAGUUAGUUGGCAUGCGACGCCUUUCGAAGAAAGAUUAGAUAAGGUUUUAUCUGAUGAGAAGCUUUUGCCUCAAAGGUAUAUUACACCAUAUGUAAUUCAAGCCAUCUGUUUGUUUUAUUUAGUUUUUCUAAUCGCAUGCUUAUGGUUUUCAGGAAGCUUCUAUAUAGGGAACCAAUAGAGUCAGAGGACUAGUACUGUGGCAACCUAAGAAGAUUGAGCAUGCUAUAGGAGUUUUGAGGAGUCCAAUUGUCUUGCAAAUUGAUAACAGAUUGUGGAAUUGGGAUAGCAUAUUCUUGCACUCAUUCAGCACAACUGCUUGUUCAAUCGAGUCUGGAUUUACUUUUGUUGUAUAUUGACAUCCUUCAAAAGCUUACUGGUCAGUCAACAAAUGUUUACAUCUUGGUAUCAGGUUAACCUUAUUGCUGUUAUACUUGACUGCAGUACAUCAGAAAUUGAUGCUGAAGAUCUGUAUAAACUUGGGCCAAGUUUUAUUUUUUUAAUUAAAGUUACCAAAAUAUUUCUGAAUUAGGCUUUUCUAAUGUUUCUUGAUUUCUCAAGUUAAUUUUAAAUUCAGAUUCUGAGGUUUUGAGUGCAAAUACGGACAGAUUCACUCCAUAUUGAUUCGAUUACUUGUGUGUGGUUUUCCAUUCGUCUUCAGUACAAUAUGGAAUUAUGCUGUUGGAAGGAUUCUGAUGGCUUACAGUGUAUCAAAUCUUUGUUCCUGUAGUUAUACCCAAGUAGAUUGCAUGUUGCUCAUACUAUACACAUGCUUCUAGUCUUUUUUUAAUUUUAAAUCAGCUUGAUCAUUCAUCAGGCAAUCCAAUCUAAAAUUGUUUUAAUGUAUCCAUAGCUUUUGAUGAUGAUAUUAACAAGUUUUGCAUGAAACAGUGUUCUGUAACUGCUCAGGCAUGCUUUGUUUCUUCAUGAUUAAUUAGCUUUUAGGCUAAUUGAAGUUGGGUGAUUACACAUCAAAUAAUGGAUUAAGAAAAAUGGUUGACAUUUUUUCAAUGCCAAAUAAUAAAUUCAUAUAGGAUACUCUAUAUAUACUUGAAUGAGAUUUUUGCUUCGGUGAAGCUACGAGAAUUAUUGAGAUAAUUGUCCUACCCAAUUGAUAUCGAUGCUUGUAUGAAGGUAAAGUUUGUUGUUUGACAUGUUGUUAGCUGUAGGGAAACAUGAACAGGCCUUGCUAGGUACCACUUCUUAAAAAUCUGCAGUCUGUGCAGAUAUGUUGGUUCAUGAAUGAAGAUUCUUUUCCUUUUUCAUUUCUUUCUUCUCUUGCUUUAUGUGCUAUGAAGGGUUGUAAAUUUGGAAUUGGAUUCAUUUUUAAACUUAAUCAUGUAACAAGGUCAUGAACCAGCACUUGAUGUAUACCAGACCUAAAUCUGCAGUUUGUGCAAAUGGCUUGAAUUCUGGUUGAAUAUUUUCUUUUUGUUUCUCUUGCUCAAUAUGUUCUGUUUCAAGAUGUAGCCUCAGAGAAUGCAAAUUCUGAAUUGUUCAGAUAGCUACUCUCUUGUCAUUCUUUCACUUGCUGUGGUGUUCAAUAUCUUAGCAGGAACAGAAGCAUUACCUGCAACCUGCAUGCUUGAAAUUGGAUAGCACUCACCAUGUAUCAUGGCACCAGAAGGAUUUUUGCCUCUCAGCACAGAUCUUGCCAUUGAAGCACAUACUGUAAUAGUUAGACAUAUAUUUAUAUUACUGUGAAGAUAGUACAAAUUGAGACUCUUGUCAAGCCACAAAAUGCCCAUUGUAAUGCAAUUAUGUGACCAGGUUACAAAGUUUCUGCAUUGAUAAAUUACCUUUUAGAGUGAUCAGAUCAAUGAAACUAAAUGUCAAAAUUUUAUUUUCCAGCAUAUGGUGAGAUAUACAGAAAUGAAACUAUGACAAAUAUCAUACAAGGGGUCUUUGAAAUAUGAGCAUCACAUGGUCAAACAUUGGCCUUAAUGAAGUAAGCCUUUGCCAGAACUACCCAGCUAGAGAUAACAAGGAUGAGAAUCCAAUGAACUCUCACCACUCCAAAUCCAACAAAACCUCAAACAUGGUGGAACACAACAUAUCCUAUAAGCCUUAGGUUAGCAAAGGGGUUGGAAGAGGUGAAGUCCCCAAGUCCUUGUCCACAAAACUCAGCCAUAGGAAGGAUUCAUUUGGCUACAGUACAAAGGGCAGCCAUGUGCCUCUCUCUCUCUAUUGAUCAUAUGCAGAGGCAUGUGGUCCCUCUUUUGAGGGCUUUGCCCAUGUCUCUAAUGGCUGUCAUCUGCAUGACACUGGAACCACCCUUGGGAAAAGACAAGCCUACAUUAAUCCAUGCACAAGACACUAAGCUAAUUGGCAUUUGGAGCUUCGAUGCUGUCACUGACAUUGUUAUCUCAAUGUCUUUAGGGGGUUCCUGUUAGAAGAAAUCUUUCUUUUUGGACAUUGGACAUGCACAGAUGGACUGUUGUCCAUAGGAACUGCUCAAGAUAGAUGACAAGCUGAACAGAGUAUGUUUCAAGAGGGUUUGCAUCCAUAGAUCAAUAACAAGCACGACAAGAGCACAAACUAGUACACUAUACCAUAUUUGCUGCUCUACUACUGUUGCUUCUGUCCAGCCAGUAUACAAAGCCUUCAUGAUCAUCUUCGAUCGUGAGGUCCUCAUGUUGUAAUCAUACGAUGUUUGCCUGUGUAGGGGGGAGAUGGAAGAACUUGUUUCGUUUCUCUUUUACUGCAAGCAUUUAAUGAAGUGAACAUUACACAAGCCAAACAAGGACGAUUUGCUUACAUCAAAUGAGAGAUGCACUCAGACAGCCAAAGAGGUCCUCACAUCUUUGCUCACGUAACUUUGUUUUGCAUGAUGUCCUCCCCGUCGAUGUUGUUCUGUAGUUGCUGCUGCUGAUGAAACCAACAAAACCAUUCCAUCAGCAAUGGCUACUAUUGCUGUAAUUUCUAAAACAAGUUUUUGUUAUGAUGUUGUAGUUGUAUCAUCUCGAGGGAAGAACUUUUGUCUGUGUUAUUGAGUUUUUGUCUCGAGUUCGGGUAACGCAGGAUCGCGUUAGAUCAGUGACGACCAGCGUAAAACUAUGUCGGAUUGAAUAUAAGAGGAGUGUCUGUCGAUAUCGUUGUUUUGUAGAGAGACCAGAGUCACUGUCACUAGCUGUAGGAAGGGACCGAAAGGCCACCAAUAGAUAGAUACACUGAAGUAAUAUAUUGCAAGAAGAGGGGGAUUCUUGGUGACGAGGUGCAUUUGUAUGAGGAUAUAGAAGAGUCCUCUGGGCUGCAACCACCAUGCAUGGCUUGCGAUGGAGCAGACUCUCUCAUCUGCUUCCUACCUCUACCACCCUGUGGUGGUGGCAUGUCAAAGCCCACACUUCUCUUUUUUCCCUCAUCAAUCUUCUCAUUUUUGGUUCUCACACCCUCUUCUCCCCCCCAGUUCUUGCCUUAUAAUUCUCUUUGUUGGUGUGAGAGGUUGAAGCUGCCAGCAUGAUCUGGUCCAGAGUUGUUGUUUCAUGGUUCAGACUUUAGAGCUCCCAUAAGCAUUAGCUGUAGGAAGAUUACUCAGCCUGAUCAUGGUGAUGGGAUCAAAACCAGUAGAUGUUAGAUUAGCUUCCAUUCCACCAUGAGAGAGUGAGGAAGAAAGAGAAAGAUGACCAGUUGGUUGGACUCCAUCAGAUCAUCUGGCAGUUUCAAUCACUCACUCACCAACAGAAGGUUUCACUUUCUGGUUCUCCUCAUGACAGGCUGAAUGCUUGCUCAUAAUUUGCAGAGAAAGCUCACAAAAGGUACAAACUAUCUGCAAAAGUAUUCUCAAUCUUUUUCUUCUUUUGAUUUCUUUUUACAUACAUAAAAUCAAGCUGUUGAUUUUUCCAUCCUCACCAUUCUCUGUCAGCAAUGAAUCAUAAUUGAAGUUAAUAUACAGUCAAGAUUCAUGCAUGUAUACACAUUAGCAACAGAUCCACCAAAUCACAUCUCUGAUACAGACAGACUAUAGGGUUGGAUGAAAACUCUGUGCUCUGUUCCAUGGUUUAGAGAAUAGAAAAGGAUGAGACAGAAGGCAUAUUAGUACACAGGUAAAUUUUGGUGGUGUCCACUCAUGCCCACAUAUGACAGAAUGUAAUGGACAUGUAUAAAAAAUAACACCAUUCCAUAUUGUUGAAAUCUCAUCACUGGUGUUUCAGAAUUCUAGGCAGACACUAUCAUCACCAUAUCCAUCAGUCUGCCCCCAUCAGAUUUUGACACCACAUAUAUGUAGCUGUGAAUUCAUUACAAUUUUAUCGGGGGGGACGAUAUAAUAAUGAUACAUAAGACCUAAAGGUAAGGUAUUUGAGUAGUAUCAAGUGAACAUUCAUGUUUUAGUAGAUCACACAAGUUUUACUCAUUGUUAGAAUGCAGAUGAGUCUCUGCAUACAUGUAAAUUAUACUAAACAAUCUUACAGAUCCAAUUUGGUGGUGAGAGAAGCUACUUUCAUUGUUGUCAGCAAACUAAAAUGCUAUUGGACUCCAUGACCAUCAGCACUAUCACACAGUGGUUGGAGCAGCAUAAAGGGAGUAAGUGAAUUACUGCUCACUUCAGUAAUCAUACACAGUUUUCUUGGCAAUUGUUUUUGUGUUCAGCUUCUGAACCUGAAGAACAAGCAGAAGAUUAAUUCAGAAUGUCUUGCCUAAUAGUCCAAAAUUGUGACUGUUAUCCUAGCUGGCCUUCUAACCCCAUUGUCUUCUCAAUAAGAUCAUAAACUUUUGGUACCCAAAAGAUUUGACAUAUGGUUGACCUCCCUGCUGACCCUGGCUUCUCAAUGUAUCAGCAUAACAAUCUGUAAGACACUCCUGAUCCUUGUUUCUUUUCACUUGGGGAGUUCCAAGGACUUGGAUCAGUGAGUAAUCUCUCCUAGCAUUCUCCAGGAAGAAAAGACAAAUUGAAGGUCCUGAUAGUGAUCCAAAUCCUUGUGUAUCAUGGUGUCUAAAUAUUUCGAAGAAACGCGGAAAAAUAUUGUUCUCCCAAUGCAGCCAGUUUCAGUUUUUCAGUCUAGUUUGAGUCAGGUGAGGUAAGGAUCGAGGUGAUUAGGAGUGAGUUGGACUGGUUUGUGAAACUAAUGUGUUCUUAUAUUUUUGCAGCAAUCUUUAAAUGAAGGAAAUGGCUAAUUAAUCCAAUACAAAAUGGUUCAUCUGAAGAAAGAUUAGGCAAUGCAGAUGAAAAUGAAGCAGACACAUACAUAAUUAAAGCAUGAGACAACAACCUUUUUCCUGGAUACACAAAGAUCUGCUGUUUGUUGUGUAUGCUGCAUAUGCAGCAGCAUUCUGCAAGAAAAUAUUAAUGCUUAUAUUCCAUUGGCAGACAUUGCUGCAUCAACUGUGGCAGUUCUACUGUUCCUCAUAAUGCUAGCAAUUCAUGUGUUUCUCAAAAGAAAAACAAUCCAUGUGCCUUUGUUUGCUGCUUCAGUUCCUUCCACAAUGCCAUGGUUUCCCUGUUGAAAUCACACAGGUGGAUUUAUUCUGCACCUUUUUUUUCUAGUUAUGGAUAGUAAAUAGGAAACCACAAAACCUAGAGAACAACAUACUGCAAGGACAUCCUGCUCAUCAACCCCAUCCCUACCAGAUGAACUGAUGAGCUUCCUCCACAUCCACAACAAUAAGCCAACUCAGAAGAACAUCAUUCUAUUGCUCAAAAGAAAGCUCUGAUUUCUUUUGCUACAUUGGCAAUUCACUGUGACUUAGUUAUGAUGAUACUCGAUCACACUUAACUUGGAAUUAUGUGUGUUAAGUGAAGGAAGAAAGAGAACAAAAAUAUAGAAGAAGACCAAUAGAUCUCAGUUUCUCAUCCAUGUUUUAAGCUUCUCAUUGGGAACAUGAGAUCAAUCUUGCAGAAGGGUCGGAUGAACAAGAAAACAGAACUCUUUAACACCAACCAGAACAAGUUUCAGAAUAUUAGGAAGAAGGAUGGUGAGGACACAUGAAUUCAGCUAAAAAUUCAGGCCUGAAUGAAAUGUCAGCAUCAUGAUGUCUCAAGAAUGUCGUGUUCUUCUCCUUGGAUACAUGUUGGCAAAGAGCAUGAAGGGACAUGUGUGUGGUAGGAGUUGGUGCAACAGGUCUUGAUAACACCACCAAUUAGCCCUAAGCAAGCAUGUGGUUUGCCCCUCCUUGCCUCACAAAGCCACUGCAACCCACAGACUCCUUUCGCUACCAAAAGAUGUUGGUGUUUCAUCUCAGAAACAAAAGCGUCUUCGUUUUUCUACUCACUCAUCACUGAUUGUUGCGGUUUGGUUUGGUUUGGUUUCCAUCACCAUAGCCUAAAUGAUUCGGACAGUCGUAAUAUGUUGCCAGUGGCUGCACAUCUCCACCUUAUCUUCGUCGUCUCCCACCCACCCAUCCAUCCAUCUACCAUCGGAUGGCUGCUGCCCGUCUUCUCUUUUCCUUCCUUCCUCCUUCAUCCUCUUCCUCUUCCUCUUCCUUCUAAUCGAUACUGGUCUGGUCUUGCUUACCAUCAUUACUGCAGCGUUCAUCAGCUUCGGGUACCAACCUGCAGGAUCUUGGCAAGCAAGAUACAGAGAUUACAGUGAGCAUCACGCUGACACCAACCUGUGCGUUUCUAGAUGCAAAUUCAAUGGUUCUUGUGAUAAGCAUCUGUCACAAGAACACACAUAGUGUAGAGGAUGAUCACCAAGAGGCAAAGCACAUUCAAUGGCUCUGACAGGUGAUAAAAAGAGUUUUCAGGAUCAUCCUAUUGAAUUGAUGAUGACGAGGAACUGAAGUGUUGAAUGAAAAGAAGAAGUCUUCCUUCUUUCUUCUGCUUGAUUAACAAAAUCUUCAAAGAUGGUCAACUCCAGAUUACUUUACCUGUCGUGGGCUAAUUCUUCCUUCCUUGUGUGUUCUUACUGGGCUACUACUAUGUUCCCACUGCAUCAACCAAUCACAGUGCUUUUGAUCUUAAUCAUUUUGAUGUAAAAUGUAACAUGUAUAGAGCAUAUAUAUAUAUAUAUAUAUGUAAAAUGUAAUCAUAAAAUGUAAGAUAUAUAUAUAUAUAUAUAUAUAUAUAUAUAUAUAUAUAUAUAUAUAUAUAUAUAUAUAUAUAUAUGGAAAAAGUUGACCUUUUUAUUUGGGAUUUGGAAGAAUAAUAUUCAGAUUUUUUUUUGACAUUUUUGUGAUUAAUUAAACAAAGAAAAAGAACAGAAAAAAAAGGAAGCCUUACGAAGCACAAACGAACAAAAGAAACGAGAAUGCUUCCGCAUUCAGAUAUUGUUGGAGACAUUCUCGAUCGUUCGUCUCUUAUCACACGCUCUCUCGCUCGCUCGCUCUCUCUCUCUCUCCCUCCUCGGUAUCACCUUCCCACAUAUAGAUAUGGGAACGUGCAAUUGAUUCUUGCUUCUUUGGUUCCCUUCACAAGCUCGGUGUCAUCCAUGUCAGUCGCUUCUCCUCCAUGAUUCUUCACAUUCUUUUUCUCGUUUUGACGUUGGAUUACGCCUGAAGCGGAGCGGGGGAGAAAAAUGUCGCCUUUUUGCGCUUUAAUCUUUUCUUUCAUUGUUGAUGUUGCCUCCACUGAUGGUCACUGUGUGGCCGGCGACGCUGCGGUUUUCUUCUGAUGAAGCUGUUACGACGAGUCUGUCGAGCAUUUUGGGAUUAGUUUAUGUUUAGUGUCAUGCACGAUCUGUCUGCGCGGAAUGUGUUCUCGAGGUGGAAUCUUUGUCGUGAAAACAAUACAAAAAGGGCUAUUUUCCCCUCUUUUAUUGGGUAAAUAAGCCAUCAGCUUGCGUUGGGAACGGCUACCUUAAUAAUAGCUGUAAGGUGAUCGAUCCCUUAGCUCUGAAAUUAUGGGGGGUCAAGACAUGAUUAGGAGGUUGAAGAACCCUUGUUGAUGAUUUGCUUGGGCCAUGCAAAUGAGAACCGGACCCUUUUUGCUUUAGAUUUUAUGCUCUUUCGAACAUAGAAAGCAAGAACAUUUGUCUUUUGUCUUCUUGUAAAGAUUUGUAAUUCUUUAGUUGAGACUGUGGGAAAAGCAGAGUUCGGGCUAGAAAACAGAGAACAUUAGCUCUCUGUGCUGCAGUAUGGGAUCAUAGCCCUGUGGCCUGGUGCUGCAUACUGGUUCAGAAAUCAUGGCAUCUUAUUAUCUAGUUAACAGAAGAUAUGAUAUUGGUAAUAUGGUUUCUUAAGUCUAAGAUCUUCAAAUUGUUGAUAUCUAGUUUACCAACUUUCUGUAAUGCCCUAUUAUGGAAAUGGGUUAUCCACUAGAAAGCUUAUUUCAUGGACUACCAAAGUAUUUGGAAUCAAUCUGUUUAAUUAUGAUUUGUUUUCUUGGUACCCUUUCUUGUAGGUUUACCAUUGAGGCUGUCUUGAAUGGUCCAUUUCCAAGAUCAAGAUUCAGCGUAAGUGGCUCCGAAAGGACUUUAAGACAAAGAGGCAAGGAUCCCAGCAUCACUCUUGGGGAAGAGAGAAAACAGAAUAUUUUUCUUGACAAACGUGGGAAAUGGAGAAUCUCUAAUCCCAAAAAGUUGUCCAGGAAAAAGGGUAUGACAAUAUAUUUUCUGCAACCGAGAGAACAAUCACUGUAAAACUGUUAUAUCUUAAUUUUGCAACCUUGCAUACCACAAAGCUCCUUUCGUUUGUACAAUUAUAUAGUUUUCUAGUUUAAUGUACCUCAGAAACACCUACUUCUGAUAUUAUUUUGGGGCAAGAUGUUGGUGAAUUGCCCAAUGCAGUGGCAUCAAAUUAAUUGGUACAUGAUAACUUUCAAAGUCACAGCAGUUUAACCUGAUCGAUAGAAGCUGCUUGGAAUAGCCAAUAAAAUUUCACUGGACUUUUGGAUAGAACUUCUCACAUGUACAUAAAUUUAUAUUUAUGUGCCUUUUUAGUAAUAGUUAAAUUUGAUUUCAUUGUGUUCUUGGCAAGCUUAGUUUGAGAUCACAUCACAAACUUUUUGGUAACAAUUUGCACUACAUUAAUCUUUUUUCUUAUUAGGUGGUUCGCUAAGGGGACGGGGAUGGAAAUAUGGAUCUGGAUUUGUAGAUGGAGUUUUCCCUGUCCUGAGCCCCAUGGCUCAGCAGAUUCUAAAGUUUGUACAGAGGGAAUCCGAUGCUGCCAAAAUUUGGGCUUCACUUGACACUCUCCCUCCUACUCAUAAUUUGUGGGAUGAUCUUAUUAGUAUAUCUGUUCAGCUUCGUCUCAACAAACAUUGGGAUCCUAUUAUCUCCGUAAGGAUCAUCUUCCAUUUUGUUAUUGAAACUCUUGUUUUCACUCAUUUCACCUGUGAAUUAAUGAUGCGUUAGAUACAUAUUUGUUCAUGUUAUCCAAACCUCCUCCUUACUUUUUCAUAGUUAUUCAGUAUUUUUUCUGAUUUGGUUGAUCACCUGGUCACCGUUUAAUUGACAUUCUACUUUCGAGGACAGUGUGUCAGCUCCUGGCACAUAUUCUGAUUUAUACUCUGGAUCAAAAAUUCGUAGUCCCAGAAGGGCUGCUGGAUUGGAUUCCAAUUUUGAAUCAAUUAGCCCAUGUACACGAGUAGUUCUUUUGUUAGUCAGAAACAAUGUCCUGUGUAUUUAAUAUAUGCCGAAUAUAUCUAAAUUCUUAUUCUUUUGAUCACACAUCACAAAGGUCUUUACAUAUUUGCUUUUCUUUUCUGUUCAUGUCUGAAGAUUUAACUUCUUGGAAUUGUCAUAUCUAGGUCUGUGAGUGGAUACUGUACAAGAGUUCCUUCCAUCCUGAUGUACUGUGCUACAACUUGCUUAUAGAUGCAUAUGGCCAGAAGUUGCAACACAAGAAGGCAGAGUCAGUUUACUUGCAGCUUCUUGAAGCUCACUGCAUCCCAACUGAGGAUACUUAUGCUCUUCUCUUGAGGGCUUACUGCACAUGUGGAUUGCUUGAGAAGUGUGAGGCUGUCCUUACUGAGAUGCGAAAGAAUGGCACUCCUCCGGGUACAUCCCUUCUUCGAUGAUAUCCUUUUGGCACUGAAUUAUAACACUUGGUUGCUCUAGAUAGUUUUCGGAGGUAUUUACGUAUUGCUCAAUUUGUAUCUGUUCUGUAAAGAUCUUCUGAAAGCUAUGAAGUCACGAGUUUAUGCAGAAAGAGCAUCAAUUUUGGUCAGGUGCGGUUGUAUAUAAUGCAUACAUGGAUGGGUUGUUAAAGGGAAGGAACACUGUAAAGGCUGUGGAGAUCUUUCGGAGGAUGAAGAGUGAUCAGUGCCGGCCAUCUACAGACACAUAUACAAUGAUGAUUAACCUGUAUGGGAAGGUAAUGUUUCGGUGCGUCAAUUUGUUUAUCCAAUGCAUGCAAAUCCAUCCCUUUCUCGUAUAUUUUUGAUGGAUUUAUUCUUGCAAUGGCAGGCUAAUCAAUCAGCUACUGCCUUAAAGGUUUUUGAUGAAAUGAAAACUGAAAAGUGCAAGCCAAAUAUAUGUACAUAUACUGCUUUGGUCAAUGCAUUUGCAAGAGAUGGACUUUGUGAGAAGGCAGAAGAAAUAUUUGAGGAGCUACAAGAAGCUGGACAUGAGCCUGAUGUUUAUGCAUAUAAUGCCCUCAUGGAAGCAUACAGGUAAAAUUGAUGAUCUUAAGAUGAUCCUCUGUAAUUAGAGUCAAUGAUCAUGCAGUUAGUGAGCCUAUGAGUUUCCGAUACAAAAGCCGUGCAGGUUUUCCAUUUGGUUCCUAUGAGAUCUUUACUCUGAUGCAACACAUGGGAUGUGAACCAGACACAGCUUCAUACAACAUUAUGGUUGAUGCAUUUGGAAGGGCUGGUCUUCAUGAGGGUAAGAGCAUUUUUCUUGAUAGUGGCAUAUGUUAUGAGUUCUUCCUUUAUUUUGUUGUGGUGUCUAACAACAUAGAUUAUGCUUACACAAUUACAUAUAUAGAAUAAUUUACUUGUGGUCUCCAUGCUGGAUAGUCGCUGCAAUUGGGAACUAAUUUUGAUCAUUAAUAAUCAUUUGUUUCAUUUCCUAAUUCUAAUAUACAUCUGCAAUCAGCAAGCUUCUUGGUCAUUGUUAUCACUCUGCGCUCCAACAUUCCUUGAUGCAUUGAAGUAAUGGAAAAUAAUCAACUUACUUUAUUACUUGGAAGAACUAAACGAAUUUACUAUGCAUCUAUAGGCUUUUAAGCUUUUAGAUGGAUUGGUGGUGACGGAAAUUUUAUAAUUGUCACAACUUUUCUGCAGAAGCCGAGGCUGUGUUUGAAGAACUGAAGCAACAAGGCAUGACACCAACCAUGAAGUCUCACAUGCUGCUCCUUUCAGCCUACUCAAAGGCAGGAAACAUCCCCAAAUGCGAGUUCAUCAUGAACCAGAUGCACAAAUCUGGUCUCAAGCCCGACACCUUCGCGCUGAACUCGAUGCUGAAUGCCUACGGCAGGGUCGGUCGCUUUGAGAAGAUGGAAGAAGUGCUGACCGCAAUGGAGAACAGUCGGUUAGAAGGGGACAUCAGCACCUACAACAUCUUGAUCAACAUCUACGGUCGGGCGGGAUUCCUCAGCAGAAUGGAGGAGCUCUUUCGGUCCCUCGUGAGCAGGGGACUGAAAGCUGAUGUGGUGACAUGGACUUCGAAGAUGAGCGCAUAUGCGCGGAAGAAGCAGUACAAGAGAUGCUUGGAGAUCUUCGAAGAGAUGAUUGAUGCGGGCUGCUAUCCCGAUGGAGGGACCGCCAAAGUGCUGCUCGCAUCUUGUACCACGGAUGAGCAGAUCGAGCAAGUUACUACUGUAAUUAGAUCAAUGCACAAGGAGGCAAGGAAUGUGUUUGAUAUAUGACAGUUUAAUCCAGUAAUCCAUGAGAUAUAUGCACACUGUAAUGACACUACAGACAGUUUCUCCUCUUGUUCACGAACUCAAAUCAAAUUUGAGUUGGAUCCAUUUAAACAUAGAUUGCUUUGUGGGGGUAAGACUAGGUAUUUUGAUCCUUUUCCAGAUCCCGUAUUGACGACAACAUAGAUAGCUUCUGACAGUAUUGGCAAGAACAAUAUCCAUUUCCUAAGCUCUGCAUGGAGACAUGUUUCAACAACUAAGAGAGAAGGCAUCAUCCAUUCAACAAUUCUAUGGAGAGCAAACUAGAAAAGGCAAGCAUACACUUCCACGGAAAACAGUUUCGCAUCUCUGUAGAUCAUUUUGCAAAGGUUCACUAAGUAAACAUGAAGAACAACUUAUUCUGGGUAUUAACAUUUUGAUAGUCUCCAGCCAUUGGACUGAACAGAGCAUGGCUUUAGCAAUAACAUACUGAUAUCUCAUGAUACCAACCAUGAAGAAGAUAAAAUCGGAAGACAAGUUUUGGAGAAGAUAAUGAGCAAGGAAGCAUCUAUAGCAGCAGUUGAGUUAUCCAGGAGGCCAUUUCAACUGCCUUCCACCAAGUACGUGCAAAUGUAGAUGAUAGACUGAUUGACCUGAAAGCAGAAUGACAUGAUCAUGAUGCUGCGGACAAGCCAUAGAUAUCAACAAUCUGUAAAGAAAGAUUGGAGAGACUUACAUGCUUCAGGACCGUUGUUGAUAACAACACGGAAACCAUCUACUAUACCUUCCUUCUCAGCCACUAGUUUUGCAGCAAAUAGAAGAUGACCUAAUACCUCAGCAUGCCUUGGUUCAGCCUGAACAAGUUCGUGAACAUGUUUAAACAUGCAGCCGGGAUAGAAGCUUAUCGAGACAAUACAUAGAUAAAAAUUAAAAAAGACAAUCACAUGUUUAAAAAAUUCUGCUUCAGCACCUCAGAGAAUAAAAAAUCAAUCUUGUAAUAAAUUAGUUCGACAACAUAUACUCAACACAUGAUACAAGAAAUUGCUAUCCAUCCUUCAUUGUGAUUCAUUGCUUUUAUAUACUUAAGUAUCAAAACUGUUCAACAAAAUAAAAGGUAAAGAAAUAGGUCAAGCAGUUAAGUAAGCAGUCAGUCAGGUUGUUACUAAUUUCUAAAGAAGUGGUGACCGAUAAAAUGAAAGGCAACAUGAUGAUGUCCACCUAUGUUAAUUUAUUAAAUGCAGAUGAUCUGUCUAGUCCUUGUUCAGUUAGAUGUUUCAUGGUCUGAUGUCUGCAAGUGUAUGCCCUUUAACCUUCUAACAAUCAAGAGUAGCAUGGCACCAAGCAUCUCACAACGAGAACCCAAUUGCUUUGAUGUAGAAACUAGAAAGUAAUAAUUUUAGUUAAUUGUGGCACAUAUAAACUCAUAAAAGUGGUCAUUGACUGGCUAGUAAUAUACACCUUUUUACCUUCAUUUGAAGCAAUAAAUCUUAUAAAAUACAAUAUAAUACAACAUGGACACAGUAAUUAUUGUAACUUUAUACUUCUUACAUUGUAGCAAUCUCUGAUCGAUCAUACUGUAUAAAACUCAAAAGAAGCAUCACUACCAUUCGUGUAACUAACAAAUUCAGCAAGUGGUAACUUAAAAGUUAUCAAUUACCUACAUAUUGCCAAUUCCCCAUAUAUGCUAAAGCUUUAUGUAUAUGAUGCAAGUGUCCAAGCUACGUGCGAUAUAUUAAAUGUGCAUGGUACAAUAGUCGUAAUAUGUUUGAACUUUCAAACAUGUGUUGAAGACUGUCUGAUAAACAUCAUUGCAGACACAAACAUUUGAAAUUGUUACGCACACUGCAGAUGCUAAAGCUUUAUGUAUAUGAUUUAAGUAUCCAACCUAUGUGUGAUAUAUUCAACGUGUAUGGUACAAUAGUCGUAAUAUGUUGAACUUUGAAACAUGUGUCAAAUACUGUCUGAUAAAUGAAAUUGGCAGACAGACACAAAAAUUUGAAAUUGUUAUGCCUCGUAGGUGCAGUAUGUGGGCCAGCGACUAAGGAAGGCAUUUAUGAUUUCAUAACAAGUCAAAAAACCUAGUUCAAAGAAAAGUAUCAGAUGAGCAUAGAAAUAUAUUUCUAAACAAACGUGAACUCCAAAAACUGACAUAACAAAAUUGACAAGUCAAGGAAAAUAGUUUUUCUAUCUUUAAGUUAUGCACAAAAUUCAAGAGCCUCUAGGAGAGUCAUAACAAAAAAUAUAUUGAACAACACGGUAAUUUAUAAACUUAGAGAAUAACAACACAACAUGGGCUAAAAUUCAACGGUAAAGUAUUAUGAUUUUGUCAUCUGCAAUUUAACGGUGCAGGAAACUAUACUGUGUGGAUAAAGGAGUUGUAGAUGCAGAACGCCAAGCUCCCAGUUAUAAAAAAUAUAUCAGGAGGUUAAUGUCCCAGUGUAUUAGUAUUCUAUUCUCAUAAAUAAUUGUGGAAACAAGUAAUUCACAAUGAUCUUAGGGGCUUAACAAAGAAGAUGGGAUGACAUGUUACCAAAAACCAUUGAAGCAGGAUAUUUUUUCCUUGCAUGAGAAAUGAAGCAACAGAUUUGUUUACAGGAUUCAUUGGAAAACCUCUCAAAAGAUUAUUGAUUAUAGCUAUUCCCUGUUCAUGCUGUCUUGAAAUCUAUCAUCUAGUUUGACAGUAGCUUUAUCAGAGAUUUAUUCCAAACCUUCUAGUUAAGUUGCUCCCGUAUUCUUGUAUCUAGAUCAUCUUAAUGAGCUCUUAUGACUACUUACAGCUGUUAUUACAGCAAAGUGUAUGGAAAAAUUCGGAUUGAGGUCUCUAAAUUUUCAUUAGUAAAGAUCUAAACCAAGGCAAUGGUUAACUAAAUCAGAGGCGCUCGGUUUAUUUUGUUUUCCGUUUCAUCUGUCUAUGUGAGUACUAAUAUUGUUUUUUCUAACUGCAGAAUUUACUAUUAGAACAUAUUAAGCAAUAAUAGAGUAUUUAUAUAGCCGACUAAGAAAGCAUUUUACUGUUUCCGGUACCACAGAAGCACUGUUUUUCCGGAUCUCAUAGUAGACCAUCUUCAGAAAAAUUCUGUUGCCAAGAUAGAGUAUAAAGGCUUUUAAGAAACAUCAAGAGUUCUCCAUUUUCUUAUAUGCUUAACAUAAGCGAUAAACGAAAUAUAUGCAUAAGUGGGAAAAUUUUGUAUACUGUUGUCCUGGCAAGUAGCAAUUCAGUAAAUGUUUGUAAUAGGUCAAGAGCAUUACUUUCUUUAUCUUAUAAAUGAACAGAAUAAAAAUCAGGACGGGCGAUCAAAGGCACCUUUCCAAGUUGGGUCAAUCCAUCCCUUAUCUUUGGAAUCACCAGAAUGUGAACUGGAGCUUGAGGGUUAACAUCUCGAAACGCCAAUACCUUGUCAUCUUCGUAAACAAUUGUGGACGGAAUCUCCUUUGCUAUUAUCUUAUCAAAUCUAAACAAGAAAAAAGAAAGAUAGAUACAUUAAUUAUCUAAUGUUAAAUCAGUCAACUAUGUCAACAGAGUAGGACAUCAAGCCUCUGCAAGAUGUAAUUUUUAUCCAGCAAGGAACAGUAUCCAUCUUAUACAUGGUUGGAGCUCCAGUAUCCGCAAUCUCGGCAGCUGCUUUGGCAGCAGCCUCUUCAUUGCCCGAGGCAGCAUUACGGCACAUAAACCUGACUCGUUGUACCAAACAAAAAGGGUAAUAAAUUUUCACAGGCACCAGAGAAUUUCUCGAUCGUCAUCGCACAACACGUAAAUGUGUGCCAAGUUUGCACUUUUGAGUAGCAUACAGCCAAAUCUGGCAAUGAGAAAUGAAAGGAAAUAUUGCAAGAGAUCUCGAACCUGCGAGGGAGAAGAAGGACGGGCGGAGGCCGGGCGAGGUUGAUGGAUGAUGGAUUUGGUAGGGGUUUUGGGAACACAUGGCCUCGUAGCGCACGAGAACGCCUGCCAACAUCGAUGUGAGAGAAAGAAGAAGAACGACAGAGAGGGAGAGAGAGAGAGAGAGUACCGAAGAAGAGAGGAUGUUGUCAAAGCUGCGGUGGAGGCCAUGGCAGCGAGCAAGAACGCUUCCUCGCUCUAACGAAGGCUUGGAUCGGAUCACCCAAUUCGUGUAGGGGAAAUGUCUAUACUACCCUUUAGAUUGAAGAUUACUCUUUUGCAACUCUUUUUGUUAUUUAUAGUCUCAUAAGAAGAAGUCGACGAUUCCUAAUGUUAUCCUUUUAUAAAUAAAUAGACGUCUAUAUCCUUAAUUUUAUUUUUUAUUUGUUAUAUAUAUAUAUAUAUAUAAUUUUGAUUUAAAGUUCUUUUCUAUUAAUGCUAUGUUGCAUAUUUUAUUUUGAUUUUUGUUUUUUCCCCCUACGAAUUGGUGGCAGAGAAAACAGAGAAAUUUUAUUCCCCAUCAUAUCAGAAUUUUAUUAACAAGAAGAUUUUUUCCAGAAAAGAAAUUUGCUCUGCAAUAUUUAGCUUAGUAUUGUCAUAGAACAUCUUCCGCAUCAUUCCUGACCAUAUAUUUUUCUCAACUAAAAUACAAUAGUUUUUUCUUAAUUUUUAUCAGUUAUGAAUUGAAUUGCUACAGUGUCAUUGUAGUUUGAGCUUUUCAUUUCCUUAAUUGCCACCACAGUUUAAGCAAUCAAGUUCAGCCACACUCCAAAGUUUAAUGUUCCUUCUUCUGAACAUUAAGAAGUAGAUGCUUGCAUGUCUAUCCAAAUUGAAUCAGGGAAUAAACUUAUUAAUUGAGAAUUGAAGUGAAAAAUGUGUACAUCAGAACAGCAUUGUUUUCAGAGAAAUUUACAACUGGUGACUACCUAGAGAAAGUGGCUGAUGACAAGAAAAAGCACCAAUGAACACCGAUACCGACGAAGUUACGACAAACAUGAGGAUCAGGCGAUCGGUCUCGAUAAGUUUCGUGCUAUCGAACAAGUUAUGUCAUCGCUCUGUUGUCAGGAGGAUUAGCUUCUAGGAUGGCACGCUGAUGCAUUAUUACCUCAGAAUCCCAGAGAGAAUUUCGACGUAGCUACUUGGAAGUUCCAACGACGAUGAAGCCACAGACGAGGAGAAGGGAUCACCUGGGGUUAGAUGGAAGGUUUCUCUGGAAAGUUCCGGGAGCAAACACUGGGAAUGAGUCCACUGCUUGUGCCCUUUCCCUUGUGUCGCGACUCGUACUUGGUGUGCUCUCAGAUUCCGGUGGUCUUGUUACGGUGCUGCCAUCGCUUCUCUUAGUAUCUUUAAGAGGGGCAUUUAGAAGAGGCCCGCCAAAGAAAAUAGACUGCCCAGUGUAGGUUAAACUCUCUUGUUGCUGUAGAGGAGGCGUCACUGAUGUAGAAACAUUAGGUUGAGAAGCCUUCCUCCCAUAAGCACCAGUUUCCGCAGAAGAAAUAGGCAAGGGAAUCCAAAAAGCCUUAACUGGGGCUUCUGCACUAUUCUCAGUUCUAGCAGUUGCUGGUACCGAGACAUAGCGACCAGCUUCUUGAUCCCAAACAACAGAAGCCCUUCUAUUCUCCCUGGCCAUUGCUGUGGCAGAUUGGAACAUUGUGUUGGCGAGCUGGGUGGCAGGAGGAGGUCCUGCUGGAAUAUAUGGCGGAGGUCGAUCAGGAAGCGAAUGCUGCACAAGAAGUGAGCUCGGGGCAAUCAAUUCAUGAGUAUGAGCCGGACUGCUCAGGCUGCUUGUGCUUUGUGUUCCAGUCUCAUAAUCAUCCUUGCUAGCAAUACUUUGCGGAUAAGAGUUUCCUAGGGGAGAUAAUUUUAGUUCCCCUCUUGAUCCUUUAGUAGCAUUGUACUCUAUGCUUAAACUACUCCUGCUGCUUGCAUUUACACUGGAACUUAGAUCAGGAACAAGCACACGAUGAGCAUCCAUGGGCCGAAGAACUGAAGAAGAUGCCCUGGCUUUGGCUGCCGCUUUCAUGGCCUCACUAGGGUCCAAUUUGGCAAGCUUCCAAGGAUUUCUCUUAACAGCCUUUUUGGACUUGGCAGCCUUUUCCACAUACCCAGCUGCAUCUGGAUCUACAGUUGAUGGUACCAUUCCAGGUUCCAAGUGUGGGAUAAUCUCAUCCUGUAGCAGAAAUUUAGGAAUGAAGUAUACACGGAUUAAGAACAACCAAGAUCAUGGACAGCUGAGAAAUAUUAGCCUGUUUUGGAGUUUAUUCAUAGACACGAGCAGACAUAUGUCACAAAGUACGAUGAAAAGUAACCUUGACAAAUUGAUUUUCUAUGACUGACUCAUGCAAAACUUUUAAUAAUUAUAGCAGGAAUAUGAGUAUCUAAUGAAGGCUUACCUGCUGAUCAACAAAUAUCCUUGGAGGGGUGCACCAUACACCUUUGUACUGGAAACCAAGGGAACUUCCAGCACUUAAGCCAGUUGUUGAAGAAUUAGUUGGAGAAUAGACAGGGUUUGGUGCUUCUUCAUCAACAGAUGCUGGAGGUGCCUCGCUCAUCGCUCUCAUAGCCACAACAUACUCGUAGGUCGUAAUUCCCUGGUAAAGGGAGGGAAAGGUAUAAAAAUUUGCUGCACGAAGAAUCUGGAUAGGUUUGAGCUUUGUUUGACAAACCUUUUUAAUCAGAAUCAUGUGGAAAAAGAAAAGUUCUCCCAAAGGUACACAUGCGACUACUGAAACUGCAGUGCAAACAGCCUACAAAACCAAGUUUUAGCAAGAAUAUGCCAUGAUUAAAGCUGUUAUCUUCAUACUGGAUUCACUGAGCAAACAUAUUCUAGAACCAAUUCAUUUUGUUUGUUAAACUAAAAAUAACCGAAAAGGACAUUCAAAGAGGAAAAUAUUACAACAGUUGAGUGGGCACAUAGGUACUAAAAUCUUGCUAUUGAAUUUCCUAUUUCAAUUAAGAAUACAAAAUACCUACCUACCCAUCACAAAGAGAAGAUUAUCCAUUUAGCAAGCAAAUUGGACAUUUCAACGAGCAACAUAANNNNNNNNNNNNNNNNNNNNNNNNNNNNNNNNNNAUAUAUAUAUAUAUAUAUAUAUAUAUAUAUAUAUAUAUAUAUAUAUAUAUAUAUAUAUAUAUAUAUAUAUAUAUAUAUAUAUAUAUAUAUAUAUAUAUAUAUAAAUUUUUAUUACAUAUAUUGUAGUUAUUAUUAAUCAAUUAAAACUUCACCAUUUUUAUCUUUUAUAAAAAUCUUGUCUUUGAUAUUUUAAAUAUUGUGUGAAAGAAUCGUUUUACCAUAUUAUAUUUAUUAAAUUUUGAAUAAUUUAUUACUAUUAUGUUCUUUGUAUUCACAUUUAAAAUUAUUUUCUCAAUUGAUGUCAUUCUUGUUCAUUGAAUCUAAUCAAUUUUGAUUAGAUUAUGAUUAUAUCAUUUCUAAUAUUUUUCGAUCCCAAUACCAAUUUUGUGAACUAUGUGCAAAACAAACAACAGUUGUGUCUAGGGGGCCUUAAAUUAUGGACAUCUUUUAGGGAAAAAAGGUGUCCAUAAGAAAAAAUAAAUCAUACCAAUAAAACAAUAUCAAUUUUGAUCUGCUGAACUUACCACAACAGUCGCAAAUGGAGCACGAGAAAAACCAUUUCCGAGCUUUUCCUCCACAUCGUUCUCCAUUCUGUUCUUAUCGACAAAGCAAAGUACAAAAACUGCAAUACCAACUCCACAUUCCAGUGCAAGCUGGUAAAUGGCAGUGAAAAAGAAAAAGAAGGGGAAAAUGUUAUAGUUGGACAAGCUCUAUGCAUAUUGAUUCACAAGUCAAAAUAUUAAAUAGUCAAAAUGGUAACAUCUUCCACAUACCCAGAUGAGACUGGUGGCCAUAAGAGCCAUAAAGGUGACAUAAUUUUUUCUCCCCACACAAUUAUUAAGCCACUGUAAGCAAAUGAGAAUAUAAAUGAUAAAAAUUCUUAGUAUUCAACAGAGAACAAGGAAAAUAAUUCAAGACAAAAUUACCCGACAAUGGUGAUCAAACCCAUCCACACAUUUAUCACAGCUUCUACAGUGUUUACUAUAUCUGCGCACCUGCAAAAUAAAAAGAUUCAACAAAUGAUGAUGUUAAGUAGAAGUCCAAACUGAAAUGACCGUGUACCACAAAGCAAAAAAAAAAAGAACAUUCUGCAACAUUAUGAUUAGAUGCUUAACAAUAGUAACCACAAACAGACAAGAGAAACCAGUGGUAAUACUUCAUCACCCAGGAUAAUCUGUCUAAUUUUCAUCUAGUGGCUACUUAGGAAAUCAGAUGCUAGAGAUGCAAGUUUUAGUCACUAUUAUUUAGUAUGUAAUUCUAAUCUAAAGCAUUAUAUUCAAAUGCAGAGAUUUUAAUAAGUAACAAACUAGUAGUAAAUAAGAAACAACAAAAGAACCUGAUGUAGGCAAGACUGUGAAGUUAUGAAAUACAAUUAUGUCUUAAAUUACCAAUGUAUACACAAGAUUUUAACUAUGGAUAAAGUGAGUGAAAGAUUCAUACCUCUUAAAGUCCAUUCUACAGAAAAUUAACUUUAUGAAAGAAGAAAGACUCAACAUUUGCCUCGUACCUCAGUUGGUAUGAUGCUCCUCCAAAGCAAUAAAAAGUAAAAGAAUCAGAAAGGGAACUAAAAAUUUUGUUUUAUCUGAUUAGUGAGAAAUGAUCUGUUAAGUUUUUGCCAUAUAUGGAGAGAAGUGGAAGAGUAGAAGGCUCUCCCAUUACUUUUUCUUUAUUAUAGCAUCCACAACAAGUCCAAUCCAAUAAAACCUAUAGUAUUCAAUGGAGGGAGAAGCCUGUUUUGUCAUCUUUAUGAAUAGUACUAAGUUGAAAAGACACAAUCAGAAAGAUAUGAAGAUCCAUGGAUUCAUUGUAACACUUUUUUUUGACCUACUAUUCAAGAACAACACCUGCUAAAGGUUAGCUAAUGCAUGACCAAGUUAUUAUAAAAGUGAAGCUUUGACAAUAGAAAAUCACAACUCAAAUAUCAAAUCUAGCACGAAGGAUAGGUUCUACUGUAGUGAGCCCAAAGCGUCAAACUUUCAUAUACAGUAUCACAUAAAUAUGACUAGACAAAGUCCAACAUAAGCAUAUUGUAUCAUUUUUUCACCGAAUGACCAAUUCAGCAAUUGCCUUAUCUGCAUUAAAUGUGAACUUACUGCUGAGCAACUGAUUCCAUGGCUUCAUUAAGAACUUAACUUGAGCCCUUUCAUUACACUGAAUGGUGAUUAAACAAUAGCCUUAUAUUACAUACCCAAGAACUAUUUUUAAUGUCCACCAAGUACUCUGAAUACAACACUCACAGGGAUCAAGAUAUCUAGAUGGAGAACAUGCAACAAAGAGCAGCAGAUAAACGAGCAAUAAAAGAACUAAAAGGCAAGAAAGAAGAUGAAUGAGCUGUACAAUAUGCCACAGCUGUAAAAAAUAUGGUAAACAAAGGAGCUAACAAAGCAAUCUUGGCAAGAUCUAUCUAUGCUCAGAGAAUCUAAAUGCAUUGCUCAAGUUCACAUAUAUAUUAAAGAUUGCUUGGUAGUAAGGUGUAUAGAUAGAUAUAUAUAGAGAUAUAUAUAUAUAUAUGGCAAUAUCUAUCUAUGCUCAGAGAAUCUGAGUGCGUUGCUUGAAUAUAUGUUCACAUAUUUAUUAAUGUUUGCUUGNNNNNNNNNNNNNNNNNNNNNNNNNNNNNNNNNNNNNNNNNNNNNNNNNNNNNNNNNNNNNNNNNNNNNNNNNNNNNNNNNNNNNNNNNNNNNNNNNNNNNNNNNNNNNNNNNNNNNNNNNNNNNNNNNNNNNNNNNNNNNNNNNNNNNNNNNNNNNNNNNNNNNNNNNNNNNNNNNNNNNNNNNNNNNNNNNNNNNNNNNNNNNNNNNNNNNNNNNNNNNNNNNNNNNNNNNNNNNNNNUAUAUUCAGAGAAUCUAAGUGCGUUGCUUGAAAAUAUCAAAUUUACAUAUUUAUUAAUGCUUGCUUGGUAGUCAUGAAAUUAUAUAGAUAUUAUCAUUUAGAGACAAGAAUGUUAAGAUGGAUGCGUGGGCUAUUAAAAAAAAAGAAAAAGAUAUAUUUGCAUGAAUGGACAAUUAUUGGGAGAGGUCUAAAAUAUCUAAAAUUCCAAAGGAGUCACCGGUUAAAUAAUGUCUGAUAUUACCCUGGACAGACUUCAGUCAAUGGAGAAGAUCGACACAAGUGACUCAAAUAGUCAGGAUUCUGCAUAUAUUGCAAAUUAAAGUUCCAAGAGAAAAACUAAUUUUGAGAAAAGCAAAUAUUCAUUCAUUUCCACACUCCUCUGCGCCACUCAAAGAAAAACCCAUACUAAUGUCCUACCCUACAAAUCUUGUUUUACAAGGAUCAAAUAUAACAGGUCCUAAUAUUUCAUCAAUAAUGAACUAAUAAAAGAUUAGGUAAUAAGAGCUUGUGUAAGAAAUUAGACAGAUCUGAGCUACAACAUUUUGAUCCUUUUUAGCCAUUGUCAUGUUCAAACAAGUUCGCAUAAAAUUACAACUUGUAAUUGAACUCUUUAUUAUAUGAUGAUUUAUACAAUCAUACAGUUACAACUAGUAAAACAUAUAAUAUUAUUUCACUUCAUGAAAGUAAGCCAAUCAUACUUAUUUUAUCAAAGCAGAAAGAAUGGAUUGGAUGAUUUAAAAGCAAUAAUCCACAUUAUAUCAUCUAGAAGAUAUACCUCAGCAUUGCACAAAGUACAAAAUAAAGCAUCUUCGCCGCCAGCUUGUUGGUCAGUUUCUUCAAGUUUCCGGCAAUCUUCUUUAAUAAAUAAUGCACACAUAAAUCCUCCAAAGCUGCAGCAAGAUGAACUUUGCUUUCCUACACUUAUUGAGAUAUUUGUAUUCACAUCUCCGACAGCUGAAGAUUUUCUAUUAGUAGAACCAUCUAAAGAACUUCUGGAAGCUGAUGCUGGAGAAGAAUGUGCUUCAGUUGCAUUAUUAUCAACUUCACAAGAUAAAGGCCCACCUGGCAAUCCAGUUUGAUCACUUUGUUGAAUUUUGGAAUUGUUAUCAAACUUUGACAUGAUUCCUGGAUCAGCAGGGUUAAUGCGUGUACAACGCACAUAAAGUAUAAAAACUGCAACUGCCUGAAACAAAGUGAUAAGAGAUGAAGAAUCCACAUGACCAUAGUCAGAAUUGACAUUUAUACAAGAUAAACACAUGUUGUGUUAGUGUUAUCAUGGGAUAAGAAGAGCUCACUCACCACAGGGGUAUAAAUGGCAAUUGCAACAUAUUCAAAGAUGUGUUUACCAAGAAACGGUGCAAAGAAGGCAUAGAAUGCAACAACCAGGAGGAAGAACACUGUUAUAGCAACAACCUGCAAAAGAAGGUAGAAGAAAAAACCAUUGCUAGUUGCACAAAUGAGUAAAAACUAAAACUGCUAGUUAAUGCUAGUUAUUUAGGCUAAUUUCAAUUAGACUAAAGUGAUAUAGAAAAAACUGGGAAUACAUAAAUGCAUUAUGACAAAAGGUGUUAUAACAACUCCCCUAGAAUGAUACGAUCUCACUUGAAGUUAUAACUCCAUCAUGAGAAUAGCAAUAAGAUAUAUUCACAAAACACUCCAUGAUAAAUGUUCUUUUGGGAGUUUUCCUACCUGAUAUUACAAAAUAGGAAUAUAUUGAUGGGCCCACUGAAGAAUGUUUAACAUUUUCAUUCUGGACCGAUGACUGUUUAAGGCAUACAUUUAUAAACAACAAGGAAGAGAAAUACAUAGGUUGACCCUCCCUAGACUCUCAUUGGCAGGAGCCUGAUUCAUUUAAUUUGUCACUAUUUAAGCCAAAGAAAUGCAUUUACCCACAAAGAACUUAUCAGGCUAGAAAUUGUAGGUUUAUAUGGAUUUGGAAGGUCCUAGCUCACGAGUGCACUCAAAUACUCUAAUAACAUGGAACCAUAUACCAUGUGCAAUAUUUCCUUUCUGCCAAGGCACUAUCUCCCAACUAUAAGUGAGACAUUUGCGUGGACAAACAAUAAAUUCUGUUCCAUAUCAUGGUUGAUUUUCGUUAUGCAAGGUCUAUGUGUGAUCUAGGGACUUAGUAAUCUACAAUGUAACCAGAGCUCUUUUAAAGCAUUCUUACUGGUCCACUUGAAAGUUUUCGUUAAUUUAACAUGUUAGUAAAGAUGAAGUUACGAGCUUGCCUGAUGACAUCAAGUAAUCAAUUGAUGUAGUUAGUUUCUCAAUUUCCAAUAAGAACAUUGAUGAACUAUUAAACGAAACUAAUGCCAAGCUUCCACAAGAAAAAAAAAAUUAAACAAUGGCAUCUCAGCAAUGAAACGGCCCAAUUUCAAACAAAGACAAAGUAAAGCUCAGACAUGAAUUCAGUAUAGAUUUGCUACAAAAAUCAAAGUGAGCAGACAUCGCACGCUCCCCGGUUUCAUAAGCUGGGGAGAAAGAAUCAUCCAAGACACCAACUUGGACUGUGUAAGAGCACGAUCGAUGUGUAAGGAGAAGAAGAAAGAAAACCUAGAAAUAACAUCAAUGCACCUUGAACCAAGAAGGCUUUUUGAAACAAUUAAACCCUUCGGAAGCCACAUCUUCCGAGAAAUCCAAAGGGCAAAACCAAAAGGGAAAGAAGGAAUUGUCGGAGCAGGGGAGGAGGUACCUGGAAGGUGUGAGCAGGAAGCUGCCAUCCAUGGCGCCUUACCAUGGUUGCAGAGAACAAGUGCUCCUCAGGCACAAACCUCCUCCGAUCACGCGGACAUAGAAGGAGAAAACCCACGGGCCAAAGGAACGAACGGAUUGCCCCCCCUUUUGAAGGAAGUGGAAGUGGAUCGGGUGGCAAGGAGACAGACGAAAAGAAAAGACAAGGAACCUCCUCCUGAAGACUCAGUGGGGGCAAAAGAAAAGGGUUUGGUCCUCGAAGCUGAAACCUUUGGAGCCUUCCUCCUCGGGACUCACAUGGGGUGGGGGCAAAGGAAUAGGGUUUGGGCCUCAAAGCUGAAAUCUUUGGCGCAUAAACUGUACAUGGAUGCUGGGAAAAAAGUGAAAGACGCGAUCUUUUUCCUCGGAAUGCAAUUUCUUCCCUUCCCAGCAAGUCAAUAUCUGCUCAAAUUAGCACCCUCUGUUUCUGGAUGAGCUACGGAAGCUAAAGGCGAAAGACUUGUCAUCCAGUGUUCUCCAAGAAGACAAGAGAAAGAGAGCAGAGCAAGAUUUGCCUGUGAAACAUGGCAGAGAUCGGCAAUCCAAAUGAAAACAACACCUCAAUAUUUGCCGACCGCAAGCCGCCGAAACGCCUCGUGUUGCCAUUCGGCGUCCGACCACCAGUGGCAGGUCAUGUGAAGCAAAUAUAUUCUGUGUGGUCAUAUACAAGUCAUUCUUCACCUCUCUGUCUUUAUAUAAUCUAAUUUUCUAGUUUAUACUAUUCUGUUAAGACAAAUUAAGAUUAUUAUUUCAGCUGACAGAGAAUUGCAGACUGUGUGUUUUCUUUGACAUGGAGUUUGGAACAUAUUAGGCUACCAAAUUCUUCUAACCAAAUCCACCAAGCAUGGAAUCUACCAACCAACAUCCAAUAAAUUAAAGAACUACUUCAUCACCUAAUACUUAUGGCUCAUCUUGGAGAUGUGGAUCUGCAAACAAGCAUAUUGAAACAGUGCCAUGGAGAUCAAGAAGUUUACAGUAAUCUUGGUUGCACCAAUGACGAUGCUUCUUUUCUUGAGGUAAAUUUAUCUCAAAGCAGAGUAAUGGUGACUUGUUUCUCAUUCCCUUUGUUCUUCCAGGAUCUUCACUUGCAAGGGAAAUCUUGGAGCAGCUUUGUUAGGUAGCAUAAGAGACAACAGGAGAUCUUUACGUCAGUGAGCUGCUAUCUUAGAUUCUGUCGCAAGAUUCUGUCCUGCUAGUAGAGCAGCAUUUGGCACCAAAUCAAGUCUUUGGUGUUUGUCCUCAGGCUGGAAGCUGCUGUAAGUUCCAAAGCUAACACCAAGUCACAUAACUUUGGUAGAUAUCUAAGAAAAGGGCAUAAAUAACAGAGAACUUAACAUGAACUCUAUGAACAAAAUUUGAACUUUAACGUUAACGAGGAGGAAGAAGAAGAGAUCUCUGGUAGUAAACAUAUCUAUGUCCCUGCCAAAGAUUUUGCCAAUGAAGCUCAAGCAGCAUUGUCGGCCUCGAGCAUAUGUUAUUGUAGAAGUGGAGUUCGAAUUCUUUCAUGAGUUAAGUGAAGGAAGAGACCAAGAGUGGCUUAAGAUAAUUGUACCACUUUUAUGCCGAGACCCUCAGCGUUGUUGGGACCGCUCAACACAUUAGAGCGUCUGAUAUAUUGUAUAAAGACAUCUGAGCUCGAAAAGCGAUUGUAUGCUCCGCUGGGUCAAAGUUGUCGUUGAAGGUUUCCAAUGAUGGGAGACAAAAGUUUACAGACAUCAGCUCCUCCUAGAGGCUUUGGACGAAAAGGGAGCGGCCUGAGGUGGGGUCAUCUGCAUCUUCCCUUCUGGAUUAUUAGAACUCUCGAUGCAUCUUGUCCAUGUGUUGGUCCAUCUAUCAUAGUUAGGCUCUCAAGGAGUCGUUCAUUGAAUCUAUCAAUUAGGUCUUCGAUUCAAGUAAUGUUGGGCCCUAGUGCAAUGGCACACUGAACUCCACUAUUGGGAAGGAGGAUGCUCUUGUCAGUAGUUCAGUUGGUCGAGUGCAGUCCUGGGUUGCCAGUACUAGAUCAAUCGGGGAAACCCUGGUGGGCGCUAGUGCUAAUAGUGGUUGAGACACCGAUCGUGGUUGUAAUUGCACCAUAGUCUAUUGAGCUAGCUGAGGCAGAAGUUGGGCGAUAGCCUACAUCAUCCCCAUGAGCAUUUGCAUUUGGUGAGUGAGGUUCAAUAAUAUAUCGAUGAGGACAACUAGGUACCUUGCAUUCAUCCCUAGAGGUGAGAGUUUGGGGUUGUUGAAUAGGUGCCAGUAAUGCCCCAGUGUUUGAGUGGAGGUGGAUGCAUUCACCAGAGGAACGGUGGGCAAUUGCUCGCCUUGUGUGAAAGUAAUAUGGAUUGGGAUAAGGCCUCAUCGCUGGAGUACUCGUUAAGAGAGUUCAUGGGUAGAUAUUUUUGCAACAUUCAGGGCCCUCCUUCUAACGCCAAAAUGUUGUAGGGAGAGUACCGUCGAUUGUGAGUCAACACGACUUGGUUUUGACUCAAAGGUGUAGGGUCAUCCGAUUAAUCCUCGUACUCAUAUGAUGAAGCGGUUGAUGGGGCACCAAGGCAUCGAGGUGGUCGUCGGGUAGAAUAUGAAUGUCCAAGGUGGUCUUGAGGGAAGGUUGAGGUGGAGUUCGACUCCUCGAUGGGUUUCUGAAUAAAGGUUAGUGUUAGGAAGAGUUUCCUGAAUUGACCCUCCAAUGCUCAAGUUAGCUUUAGAGUGGUAUAUAGUGUAUGAGACUAUUUGCAGAGAUAUUCGACUCUUGGAUCAGCUUUUAUAUCUGACUGGUCGAGAGAUUUAUUUGUAACAACUAUAAUGCCCUCUCAUUUGUCCAUGGAGGCCAACCAAGGUGGGGUCGGGGCAGGCCCGAACAAUCUCUCGUGGACAGUUGUCCACGGAGGCCAACUGGGCUAGUCCGAAUGGUCUCUUGUUGACUAUUAUCCAUGGGGGCUAAUAAGCCAUAACUAUCUCCAUGUCACCGCCUCAGGUGACUCAACCUUCAACUUCCUUGUCAGCAUAUCUAUCAUUAUAAAAAGAUAUAUAUUUGUGUCCCAGUCGACUUUGUCAAAACUCUCAUAGCUUAGCUUGCUGGUGUUGUCUACCUAAACAAAACAUAUGUAUUUGUUUAGGUAGACAACACCAUUUCUGAGCAAGUUUAGACAGGAUGAGGAACCCAAAUUUCUGAGCAAGUGCAAGAAUUCUCAAUAUUGAAAAGAAGAGGAGGAGGAUUACUACCUGAAGCAAAUAGGAAGAAGAACGGCAAAGUGAUGGCCACACCCCUUGUGUCCAUUCUUGAAGACCACCUUCUACCUGCAAGAAAUUCUUAGUGUGCUCACUAGAUUUCUGGUAUUGUCACCAGGAGUUAGGGUGUUGUUUUAGUUGUUUUCUUGUCAUGGGAAAACGCAUUGCUUACAUAGCAACGUUUUGGACUUGCUUGAUUGUGUCGGCGCACUAGAUGUUUUGCAGCUUGAGCAGAUACAUCAUAUGCAAAACAAGGGUCAUUUUGGACACAUUAUCUACAAAUAAAAUACUUUAGGAUUGAUAUAAUAGUGGAGGAGGCAUGGCUGACACCUUAACAUCAUAUGUGAUCGAUACUUUAGCAUUAUGUGGAUUAACACCUUAACAUCGCAUCAUCGAUACCUUAGCACCACGUAUCUCAACAUGAGACACCUCAUCACCGUAUGACCAACACAUAGUCAGCAUGAGAUUGACAAUUGGAUGAUAAUGAAAAGAUUGGGUUUUAGAUGAACUUGCAAUCCCUUGUGAUCAACAUUGAUCACAAGAAUACCAGUCCAUAGAGCCCACUAUAAAAGAGCUCUCCAAGUGUGUUCCCUAUAUACAUUUAAACAUCGCUUUUAAGCUUGGUUCGAAUCCUUCCAAACCCUUGAAAUGAGACAAAUGAGGAGGAAGGUCUCGGUUAGCUCCGAAUCGACAUCCCUCGAUGAUGAUGCAACCUCGGCUCAAAAGCAUCUCUUGAUAGUUGUGCAAGUUGAAUUGACCUAGAAGCGUCUCUUAGUAACAACGUAGGCUAAAUUGGCUUAGAAGCGUUUCUCGACAAUGAUGUGGUCGAAUCGGUCCAAAGCGCUCAAUUCGAUGAUAGCAUAAUCAAAAUGACCCAAAGCAUUUUGUCCAACGAUAGUGCAAUCAAAACAACAUAAAACAUUCUCAUCAAUGAUAACAUAGUUGAAAUGACUUGUAGUGCUCCAUUUGAGGAUGCUGAACAAAAUGGUCUAAAGUGCUUAAUUCGAUGACAAUGCAGCCAAAAGAACCCAAAAGUACUUCCUUUAACGAUAGCAUAACUAAAACAACCCAAAGUGCUCACUUCGAUAACAAUGUAAUGAAAAUAUUCCAAAGUGCUAUAUUUAACGAUAGCACAAUCGAAAUGGCUCAAAAUGUUCCCUAUGACGAUAGUGCAAUAUAUACAACCUAAAGCGCUCCUUUUGGUGAUAAGAUCAUAAACCCUUUUUUUUAGUUUGGUAGUUAAGUAGGAGUUAUAUCCUUGACUCCACUGCACUUAUCGAGGCAUGCUAUGGGAAUAAUGAUAUAAGGACGAUCGAUACCUCAAUGUCAUCUUAGCACCAUAUGGCUAACACUUAACACCACAUGAUGGGCACUUCACAACCACGUGGUUGAAACCUCAUCACCACAUGGCCAACAUAUCACAACUACAUGGCAUAUAUCUCAACAUUGCAUGACUAACACAUUAUAACCACGUAUUCAACACCUCACAGCUAUGUGGUCGACAUCUUACCGCUACAUGACCGACAACUUGACAUUAGAUGGGUGAUGAGGUGAUUGACUCGACCUUGCGAAAAUUGAUACACAUAAUUUGAUACAACCAUGUUCGCUGGUUUCAGCGCUUCAUGAUCGCAUGUGGUUGGAGAAAAUGCAUAAUCAUUCCAAUUAUUAAUUAUGACCUCAAGCUAAUGGUCAAAUACCAUAUUAUAAAAUGCUCCCAAGUAUGUUCUAAGGGGGCUCUCCCCUCUAUGUUGAAUUACACUUUUCUUAUUUGACAUUUGACUAAAUUCUUUGAACCUCUUACUGAUUUAAGUAUCAUAAGAGCUUUGUUGGGUAUACCUUUAACGUAGUUUUUUUUUUUUUUAGGAUCCCUUAUCGAACCCACUCAUUGCCCGAUAUCAAAUUUUUGAUAGACUUGGACAUCAACAAAGGUUGCCUCCAAAAUUCUCCCCAUGUAUUGGACAACCAAAUUACAUUUUCAUACCUUCCAAGUUGUGAUUUUGGAGAAUAAUAAUUUAAUAUCUUCUCACAUAUCCAAUUUUGUAUGAAAAAUAAACUUAAUUUAGUAACUUUUCUUUUAUUUGAAAACACGAAUUAGUAAAAACAAAUCUGCACUGAAAAUUUCUCAAUAGUCAAACCUCUUAAUUUGCUUCAAAACAUAGAAAUUAUCAAUUAUUUUGUAUUGGAUACGAAGAAUAAUAUUCUUAGUAAUAAGAUUCUUUAAUCUUAAACUUGAUCAAUUAUUGAAUAUAUAUAUAUAUAUAUAUAUAUAUAUAUAUAUAUGUAUAUAUAUGUUUGAAUGUUCAUGGUUUUGAUAGAUCUGUUGUUGUUUACUUGAACAAAACAUACCCUAAGUCCUCGUUUCAAUACCAAGAAGAUAGUGAGCACACUAAAGAUUGCUUGUAGGUUGAAUGUGAUGGUGGUUUUCAAGAUUGGACAGAAGGGAUGCAGCCAUCACUUUGAUCUUCCUAUUUUGUUUACUGUAUAAAAAUUAUUAUUAUUUUCCUAUACAUGAGUUUCAUAAUGAAUUGGUAUGCUUUCAUUUCAUGUUAAAUUAUUGAUAUUUGUAUAUAUUUUAUGAAUAUUAGAUAUUAUUUUUAUAUUUUUUAAAAAUUACUAUCAACAUGUGUGGUUGUUGAUGCUUCUUUAUAAUAUAUUUAUUUUUAGAGUAGUUUACUACUUUCUAAUAUGUCUAAGGUUUGGAUAGAGGAGACUUUUCAGAAACACUAUAAAAAAGGCAUGAUUUUUUUAGUUAAAAAAAAGUUACUAUUAUAAAGAUAGAGAUUUGAAUUCAAAGAUAAAAAAGAGAGUGGCUUCUAUAAAUUAUGAAUAAUGAAAUAAUAGUUUAUUUUUUUAUAAAUCUAGGAUGUGAUAAGAUCGAUUUGGUCUAUACCACUAUUGGGAGAUGCUUUUGAAUCGAGAAGGUCGCAUCGUGGUUGAGGGACGCUUUAUGGCUAAAUUUAGUUGCAAUGUGCUUCUUGAUCAAGUUUAGUUACUUUGUCAUCAAGGAAUGAUUUAUGACCAAGUUCAAUCACGUUAUUAUAUAAGGAUGCUUCUUUAUUGAUUCGAUCAUGUUAUUGUAGAGGGUUGAUUUUGGCUGGGUUUGGUCACCUAGUUAUUAAGAAUUAUCUUUUCAAGUAGUUCAAUCAGGUUAAUGUUAGGAGUCACCUCUUCAAAAAGUUUAGUCAUGUUGGUGUUGGGAGCUACUUCUUUUGGUCAUGUUGGUGUUAUAAGCGAUCUCUUUAAGCAGUUUAACUAUGUUGGGAUAAGGAACCACCUCUUUCGAGGCUCGAAUAGUACGGUGUGGAGAGUCACUUUUUUAGGUGGUUCGACCAUAUUAAUAUAAGGAACCACUUCUUUGGGGAAUCUAUCAUUAUAGUGAAGGGAGCUACCUCAUUUAUGUUGGUGUUGCUCAAUUAUGUCUAACUACCAUUUUAUCCUAUUAGAGGGUGGUAUAAUGCAACUACAGUCCUCAAUUAUGUUACUUGUUAUAGAAUUUGAUCAUUCGAUAAAUGAAGAAAUUUCGGAGCCACAAAUCUGAAUUUGUCACAAACUAGACAUAGUGAAUUUGGAAAGAGAUCCUAUAAAAAAGAAUUAUGUUGGAGGCAUACUCGAUAAGGCCCCUCCGUGCUUAACACAAUAAAGAGUUCUAAAUUCACUACAAGAGAUCCCCCUAAAGAACCUCCUCCGGGCCUUUUUGUAGUGUGGUAUUUGGCUACUGGGUUGAUGUCAUGGUUAGUAAUCAAAAUGGUUUUACGCUUCUUCCAGCCACAUAUGUGAUUGUAUAGUGCCGAAUCCGAGUAGGAAACAAAGAGUCGCUGCUGGUGUGUGAUAAUGUCGCAGCUGUGUAAAGUAGAGAACAACAAGCAGUGGCUCUCACCCAUGGCGUCCAUGCUGCAUGCAGGGCAUUGUGGUAUUCGUCGAUAUUGAGACAGGUUGACUUCGAUGCGGAAGUUGAUGUUGAACUGUGUUCGGGUGUCAUUAUGGAGUGCCAUGUGUUAAUCUGUGCCCGUGCGAACAGUGACUUGCAGGGUUGAGCCUAAAGGCUUAAAUGGGAUCAAUGCAUCUCUUUUGCACACACCGAGAGGCUUAAGAGCAAUGUUCAAAUAUGUUUAUAGGAAACACACCUAGCGUGCCUUUUAUAGUGGGCUCUAUGAAUCAUUUUUCUUAUGAUUGAUGUUGAUCAUGAGGGGAUUGUGCAUUUAUCUUGGACCUAAUCAUUCUCAUCCCGUCGCUGGAUGUAAUGAAACCUUGAAGAUUGACUUGAUCUUAUCAUUGUCAUCUAAUUGUUGGUCUUGUGUCGAUCGCGUGUCAGUCAUGUGGUGCUGAGGUGUUUCUCCACAUCAUGAAUGGUCGUUGCGCACCCGUAACAUCUUUGUUAAUGAACCGUUCGUCACUUUUGUGCACUUGUAUAGUUGUUUGACAGUAUGUUUUGUAUUAGUUUUGUAUAUUUUUACUUGAAAAUUAUGAGCAAGAAUAGAUUGAAAUAUUACAAAGCGAUUGCUCACCAUGAUGAGUAAAACUUCCACAAAAUAGAUUCGUUUUUGUGUGUCACAACUUGUUUUUUUCAAGCUAUGGUGCGAUGCAAAAUAUCAACUAUAUUAGUAUCCUGGAACCCCUUAGGUGGCACCUGGUUAGAUAAAGAUUUGUUGUUGUGUUGGGCGUCAAAUAGAUUUCACAAGUUCGCAUGUUAAGUCUAUGAGAACUUGCCAUCGUGCUCGACAUCCUAUGGAAAAUCAUUUAAGGACUUGUAAUUGCUCGGUUGCCUUCUAAAGUCCUUGGUUUCACCAUUCUCUCUUGCAUAUCGAGUGUUUGAUGAAUUACUUGUAAAGUUGCCGUCUUCGUAAGAUGUUAGGACUUGUUCGUCGUUCUAUUUCGAACUAAUCAAUUUGCUCUUUUAUAGGUUCUAUGAGACCUGAGCAAGGUUGUAGCUAGGCUUAUCAUUUGCAGAUAGAUAAUGCAAUAAAGCUUCAUAACUUAAAUAAUCCUAGUUAAGUCUAUGACAUUGACGUAAGGGUGCUUCAUGGCUUAGACAACUUCAGUUAAGUUCAUAAUAUUAGCGUAAUUAUGCCUCAUGACUUAAAUAGUUCUAAUUAAGUCGGUGAUAUUGUCGUUUCAAAAAAGUUGAUGAUAACGUGGUGUUGAGAUAUCAAUCACAUGAUAUUGAGGUAUCAGCCAUGCGAUGCUAAAGUAUCAAUCCUCAUAGCAUUAAUGUGUCGACUCCACAAUGUUGAAGUGUCAACCAUGCCUCCACUCGUAUAUCAAUUCUUAAGUAUCUCUUUGCGUCUAAAAUCGAAAAACAUUGGAAGUGUCUGAUGCGACCAAGCAAAUCCAAAAUGUCCCCUUUUACAUAUGAAUGAUGUGCCCGCAGAAGAUGCAAAACAUAAAGCAUCGACAUGUGGAAUCCUUGGUAUAUGUUACGUGAGCUGGUUAUAAUAGCAUUAAUCCUUGCCAGAUACCCUUAAUCUUCCAUUUAUGCUCCUACGUGCAUGAACACUGUAACUCCAUGGUGGCAUCAGAUAUAUCUUUCACUUGGAUACCUUGUAUCUUAUCUACUACUAACCAUCUUUGCAUUCAUGAGAUUUUCUACUGCUACAUAUGGUCGAUCGAUGCAAAUUAUAAAUAACAACAUACCCUAACUCCUGGUGACAGUACCAGAAAUCUAGUGAGCACACUAAGGAUUUCUUGCAGGUAGAAGGUGGUCUUCAAGUAUGGACACAAGGGGUGUGGCCAUCACUUUGGUGUUGCUGUUCUUCUUCCUAUUUGCUUCAGGCAGUAAUCCUCCUCCUCCUCUUCUUUUCAAUAUCGAGAGUUCUUGCACUUGCUCAGAAAUUAGGGUUCCUCAUCCUGUCUAAACUUUAGUAUCAGAAAUGGAGAAAAGGAAUAAAUUUGUUUUCAUUAUUACUUUAUAUAAAUCUAUAACAACAGAUCUAUAUGAACAUUCAAAACAAACAAACACACACACACACAGACACACAGGAGCACUGAUGGUCUUCUUCAACAGAGGCACUGACAAAGGUUGAUGCAAGUUUCUGCGACCCCAAGAACAACAAUGAGUGUAUAAACUUAGGAUCCCAAGGAGGCGAGUGCGCCGCCAACUGCUGCCUUCCCAUCCCUCCCGGUGCGAAGAUUGUGGAUUUCAAGCGGCCAUCGCGGUCCACCCCCCUCCGCGUCCGCCCCGCCGCCCACUUGGUCGACCCCGAGUACCUGGCCAAGUACAAGAAGGCCAUCGAGCUCAUGAAGGCGCUCCCGGCCGACGACCCUCGCAACUUCAUGCAGCAGUCCAACGUCCACUGCGUUCACUGCGACAGCAUCCCCGACAAUGACAUCCAAGUCCACCAGAACUGGUUCUUCUACCCCUGGCACCGCUGGUACCUCUACUUCAACGAGAGGAUCCUCGGCAAGCUCAUCGGCGACGACAACUUCACGCUCCCUUUCUGGAACUGGGACUCGCUCGGCGGAAUGAUGCUGCCGUCGAUCUACGCCGACCCUUCGUCGCCCCUCUACGACAACCUUCGCGACGCCAAGCACCAACCUCCUUUCCUUGUCGACUUCGACUUCAAUGGAACCGACCCAGGCUUCACCGACGCCCAGCAAAUCGAUCACAACCUCAAGAUCA
rnacentral:lncRNA from 1 species